GGAUUUAGCAAUAGCCUUUGCAUUUCCUGUAGCUUUAGCUUCAGCUUUAGAUUCAGCAAUUGCAUUGGUAUUGCUUCCACCAUUAGCCUUCGCAUGGCUAGUAGAAUAAGCAACAGCAUGACUAUUACCAUGAGCAACGGCAUGACUAGUAGCAUGAGCAACGGCAUGACUGCUAGCACCUUUUUUAAUUUUUUCAUCAUCUUCAUCAUCGCCACCACCAGAAGUUUUAGGCUUCUUAUCAUCCCCAUCAUCAUUAGUCUCUUCUUUCGGUGUGGCAUCAUCACCAUUAGAAUUAUUAGGCUUGUUCUCAUCUACAUCUGAAUUUGAAUCGUCAUCCCCACUAUCAUUUGUAGUUUUUUCAUUUACAUUAUCUUUAGAAUUUUUAUCAUCAUUGUCGGAAUUUGGUUUUUUAUCAUCUUUCCUAUCAUUAGAAUUUUUGUUAUCUUCACCAUCAUUAAGAUUAGCAUCCGGAUUCUCACCAGAUUUGUCAUCGGGAUUGCCAACAGGAUUCUCGCCAGAUUUGUCAUCGGGAUUGCCAUCAAGAUUCUCACCAGAUUUGUCAUCGGGAUUGCCACCAGGAUUCUCACCAGACUUGUCAUCAGGAUUUUCACCAGGAUUCUCAUCGGAAUUGCCAUCAGGAUUCUGACUAGGAUUGCCAUCAGAAUUCUCAGCAGGAUUACCAUCGGGAUUCUCACUGGGAUUGCCAUCAGGAUUUUCACUAGGAUUGCCAUCAGUAUUGUCAUCGGGAUUCUCACCAGACUUAUCAUCGGGAUUCUCACUGGGAUUGCCGCCUGGAUUUUCAAGGGGAUUGUCACUAAGAUUCUCACUGGGAUUGCUACCAGGAUUGUCACCAUCAUUAACAGUUACAUUUUCACCUGGAUUUGCAUUUGCAUUAGCAUUUGCAUUAGGAAAUGCAUUAUUUGCAUUUGCAUUGGCAUUUGCAUUGGCAUUAGGAUUUGCAUUAUCAUUAUCAUUGCCAUUGGCAUUAGGAUUUGCAUUGGCAUUAGGAUUUGGAUUGGCAUUAGGAUUUGUAUUGGGAUUAGGAUUAGGAUUUGCAUUGGCAUUGGCAUUUGCAUUUGCAUUUGCAUUUGCAUUAGGAUUUGUAUUGCCAUUUCCAUUAGCAUUAGUGUUAGCACCAGGAUAACCACCGGUUCCACCAACAUUAGUACCAGCGUUACCGACCACAUUUGCAUUUUGAUUGAAAUCAAACCUAGUCGAAGAUUGAUCACCACCACAAUCACAAGGACACUUGUGAAUGGGGAAGAAGGUGAGUAAACGAUGAUUAAAGUUAGAUUUGAACAUUCCACCAAGAUUACAUUCACAAGAACACUGUGGAAAAGUGGCAGAAACUAAUUGGGUUGUGAAGAUGAGAGAGACAAGCAGAAGAGUAAGACUUGACAUUGUUUUAAAGGAAGUUUCCAUGUUUUUUGAACUCUUAAUCUUUUUCUGUGUUCUUUCCUUGUUCAGACCAUAGAGGUAUUUGUAGUUAUGUUGAACAAACUAAGACCAAACAUUUUUGGUCCACUUCAGGAUAUGUUCACCCUAUUUUGGCAAAUUUGAUAUUUGUUUAUUAUUUCUUUUUUCGGAAGUAAUUAAGAUAGUACUUAUGAAACAAAAGACACCAUAUAUUAUCUUCUUUUUUGUUAUUAUGGGAGUUACCAACAAAUACAUCCUAAAAUAUUUAUCCAUGUUAUUCUAAAGAUCUUUCAAUGUAUGCAUAACUUCCUUAGAAAUUAGAAUGUUUCAUUCCAAUAAAUUUUUUAUACUUUUUCUAGUUUAUUUGAUAUAUAUUAGUUUAUUCCAAAUUGAAUAAAGAAGUAAUACUAGUUUAUUGGAUAAAUAUUGUUAAGUAUACCUCUUCUUAUUAAUUCCAUGAUUUUAGUAAAAUCCUUUAUAGAUUUAAAGUUUAAACCUAUAGUAUUUUUUUUAUAACGGAGUAUAUCUUUUUACAAAUAUAAAAAUGUUUACCUUCAGAUGAUAUACCAGAACCACAUAAUAUAUCACCGGUUAAAUCGUUGUGAAAUUAAAAGAAAUAUAGACAACAAGAUUUGAAUCCCAUACCCUCAAAAGCUUAAUAAUUACUGUUACCAAUUGAACUAAUCGUCCUGUGUGACCCUUAGUAAUUUUUCAUAAGGUCGUACUAUAUAUUUAGAGGAAUUUUUUUCACGAUACAUUUAAUUAAGAUUUAGAGACUAUAAAAUAAAUUAUCUUGUACCUAAAGCCUUGGUGACUAAAGUAAUUACCUAACCCAACAUUAAAAGAGCCUUUUUUUUUAAAUUGCUUUAAAAUCACCGGAAUGGCCUAAGGCCAUGCAAGUGGAAUUUGAAGCAUUAGAACUCAAAAAAACUUGGGAUUUGGUGCCUUUUAAGUCCUCUAUGAAUCUUGUAGGCUGCAAAUGGGUAUACAAACUAAAUAGGAAGGCUGAUGGAUCUAUUGAUAGAUAUAUAAAGCGAGGUUAGUAACUCAGGGGUUCAAACAGGUUGAGUCUUGUAUUGAAGGUGUAGAUUUCAAUUUAGUCUACAGUCCUGUAGUUAAAUCUCCUACAAUAAGAAUAGUCUUGUCUAUGGUUGUAUCCUAGGGCUUUAUAUUAAGACAAUUAGAUGUAAAAAAUGUUUUCUUACAAGGAGAAUUAUCGGAGUUAGUUUUUAUGAAACGACCUCAGGGCUAUGAGAACAAAAGUUAUCCUAAUCAUGUAUGCAUGCUGAAGAAGAUCAUUUAUGGGCUAAAACUAGGCUAUGUGAUUUUUCAAUAUGUAUAGGAUUUCAUAAUAGUAUGGCAGAUAUGAUGAAGCACGGAAUCUUCUACCAGUGGGCUCGCGGGGUUGCGAGGAGGGCCGGAGGCUUUGGAGUCCACGACGCGCGCUCUACAUAAAAUACCUGCAGAAGUGAAGGGGAAUCGGCGACUCACGUGGGAGUCGGCGAUUCGGGCUCCUUGAUGUUCUAGUGUGGAGUGUAAGUGGUCAAGUGUGAAUGAUGUUGGAGGACACCCCUAGGACCACUUUUAUAGGGUCCUGGGGGCGUUUCCCCAUUCAUUAGCGUGUGGCCCACUCCAUUUUGGUGCCCAAUUAAGGAUGUCAUAAUGACGUGGGCCCUCCCAAGUAACGCCUGGGAAUCGGCGACUCAGGUAUGAGAUUCGCCGAUUCAGAGGUGGAGUCGCCGACUCCCUUAUGGUCAGGUCCUCGGUCUACCAGACCCGAGUGCCCUGUCUGGAGUCGGCGAUUCACCCCUGGAAUCGGCGACUUGGUAGUCCCUGUCGACGAUUCUCAGGUGUUGCCUUGAGUACUUGACGUAGACACUUGCUCCGCACCGUGGAUGCCUUCCGGGGAUCUGACGUAAAGCGACGGAACCCUAGUCUUUGUUGAGGGGCGUUGCUGGGAGUGACUGACGUAAUCAGACAUGUCUCACCAAGAUACAUCACUAUUUUUUUGUAAUAAACAGAGGUAUAGGAUAUGGAUUAAUCUAGUCUACGUAGAUGAUUUGAUAAUUACAGAAUAUAAUCCCAAGGCUACAGAGAACAUUAUUAGAAUAAUUUACAUUGAGUUUAGAUAUAAAGAUCUAGGAUGCCUGAAAUCUUUCCUUAGGAUUGGAGUUACAAAAUAAGAAAAUGGCUCUAUAAUACUCACUCGGCCAAGAUAUGCGCGCCAUGGAUUUAUAAGUAAAAUUCAAUAUAUCAUUUUAUAAAUCCUGUAUAUCAACAGCUCCUUCUGGAUCUAAGUUAAUAAAAAAUAAAGGAGAAAUAUUGGAUGAUACUACUUCCUUUAGAAUAUAGUAGGAUCCUUACGUACAGUACUUAACUAUGAAAAGACCAGAUCUUUCAUACUAUGUUAAUCAAAUAUCUCAGUUUUUAUAGGUACCCAGGUUCUCUCAUAUGGCAACUGCUAAGAGGAUCCUUAGAUUUGUUAAAGGUACUCAUAUGCAAGGAAUCCAUUUCACAAAGUCUAGGUCUACAAAUCUAAUUGAUGAAGGUCGAUUUCAACAAUACUCGAGAUGUACGGACGUAAGCUCGAGAUAUUCGAUCGACUUCCCUUAAGAAGUCGAAAUCAGGAGUUUUGGUCUUUUGUAAUCAUGUUUUACGCCAGUUCGAGUGAUUCAAAUGAAUCUGGAUCCCUUUUCUGGGGAGAGCCCCUCUCUAUUUAUAGAGUGUUUUACAGAGGUAUUGCGGUACAUUCACAGUUAUUUAUGGGCUGGGGGCGGCUGUUGGCUCAGUUGGAGCCCAGUGGACGACUAAGGAGGCUUUGGGGCCCUCCAUCCAAGAAGAAGUCGGCUACUUCUCUUGGCUAGAAGAGAUCCAAAGCUAUUCGGUGUGGAUUUUGCUCCGUUUUGCGAUUGUUAAUUUGGGCCUGAAAGGUUUCGGUCCUUUCAGGCUACGUGUUCGUGGCGAUGUUAUCUGUUAGCUCGGACAUCUAUCACCAUCAGUUGCUUUUUGUGACUCAGACUUUACAAAAGAUCUUAAUGAUAGAAGAUCUGUGAUAGGUACUUGUGUAUUUUUAAGAUGUAACUUGAUAAUAUGGCCAUCUAAGAAAAAAACCACUAUUUCAAGGUCAAGUGUUGUAAGAAACAAAAAAUAUACAAGGCAAUAGGAUAUUCAAUUGCAGAUCUAAUUAGAUGAUGCUCUUAUGUAGAAAUCUUGGUAUUAGAAUUGCAUCUCCUACUUUGUUUUGUGAUAAUUCCUCAGCAAUAUUUUUAACAUGAAAUCCAUAUUUUUAGCAAUAUUUUUGAUAAUUAUACUUAUGUAUUUAUUUAAAGUUGAUUAUACCUUGAAUUAGACACUGCAGAAAAAUAAAAUUUUUUCCCGGCUAAUAUUGACUUCCAAACCGCCAAUGUCAUUGUUCAAAGCGGUUUAGCCACCAAUAUUUUUUUUUUCAAUCUUACUUUAUUGAUUCUAGCCUCACUACAAAAAAAUAGGUUAAUUAUUGGAAAAUCAAAUGCGAUGCCUUUGCCUCCAAUAAUACAUAUUUUCCGACAAAACAAAUUACUAGCGGCAGAGGCGCCAAUAUUGGUUGCACUUACCAACAAAACCUAUAAAUUUCUGACAAACAUAGAGUGAUAGACACUAAUUCAUUAAUAAUACACUAUUUUGUUAGAAUAUAUAAUUUGAAUUAACGUUUGCUUGUAGGUAAAUGUAUUAUAUAUUAACAUAUAUAAUUAUUAACGCUUCUUACUUCGAAGAAAAUUAAGGAACGUGUCUUUUUACUUUUAAGACUAUGGUGGACGAUGAUGUUCGUGAUACUGAUAGGGAAGACGCCGGAGACGUGGAGCUUUUAGCCGAGGAUAUCGUGAUAAUAAGAUGAAGAACUACUACAGUAAUAGCUAACUAAUAUCGUGGACUAAUCUACCUAUAGCUAUUGUAGUAUAGUAGUAAAUGGUUAAAUAUUUUGUUACAACCCUAUGAUCAUUUAAACUAGUGAUAUAUAUUGAUUUUGUAUUAGAAUACUAUACAUUAUACACAUUAAACAAUGAUUCUAUUAUGUAUAUAUAUUAUAUUAUGAUAAUAAGGAAAAAAUAGUAUAGAAAUGUGACUAUCAAUACUAUUUGUGAUUAAUUAGCUUUUGCUUCUGCUUUAGCUUUGGCGAUAGCAUUUGCAUUUCCUUCUGCUUUUGCUUCUGCUUUGGCUUUGGCGAUAGCAUUUGCAUUUCCUUCUGUUUCUGCUUCUGCUUUCGCUUUGGAUUUGGCGAUAGCAUUUCCAUUUCCUUUAGCUUCGGCUUUUGCUUUGGAUUUAGCAAUAGCCUUUGCAUUUCCUGUAGCUUUAGCUUCAGCUUUAGAUUCAGCAAUUGCAUUGGUAUUGCUUCCACCAUUAGCCUUCGCAUGGCUAGUAGAAUAAGCAACAGCAUGACUAUUACCAUGAGCAACGGCAUGACUAGUAGCAUGAGCAACGGCAUGACUGCUAGCACCUUUUUUAAUUUUUUCAUCAUCUUCAUCAUCGCCACCACCAGAAGUUUUAGGCUUCUUAUCAUCCCCAUCAUCAUUAGUCUCUUCUUUCGGUGUGGCAUCAUCACCAUUAGAAUUAUUAGGCUUGUUCUCAUCUACAUCUGAAUUUGAAUCGUCAUCCCCACUAUCAUUUGUAGUUUUUUCAUUUACAUUAUCUUUAGAAUUUUUAUCAUCAUUGUCGGAAUUUGGUUUUUUAUCAUCUUUCCUAUCAUUAGAAUUUUUGUUAUCUUCACCAUCAUUAAGAUUAUCAUCCGGAUUCUCACCAGAUUUGUCAUCGGGAUUGCCAACAGGAUUCUCGCCAGAUUUGUCAUCGGGAUUGCCAUCAAGAUUCUCACCAGAUUUGUCAUCGGGAUUUCCACCAGGAUUCUCACCAGACUUGUCAUCAGGAUUUUCACCAGGAUUCUCAUUGGGAUUGCCAUCUGGAUUCUCACUAGGAUUGCCAUCAGGAUUACCAUCGGGAUUCUCACUGGGAUUGCCAUCAGGAUUUCCACUAGGACUGCCAUCAGGAUUCUCGCUAGACUUGUCAUCAGGAUUCUCACCAGACUUGUCAUCGGGAUUCUCACUGGGAUUUCCGUCAGGAUUCUCACUGGGAUUGCCGCCUGGAUUUUCAAGGGGAUUCUCACCAGAUUUGUCAUCAAGAUUGUCAUCGGGAUUCUCACCAGAUUUAUCGUCGGGAUUGCCACCAGGAUUCUCACCAGACUUGUCAUCAGGAUUUUCACCAGGAUUCUCAUCGGAAUUGCCAUCAGGAUUCUGACUAGGAUUGCCAUCAGAAUUCUCAGCAGGAUUACCAUCGGGAUUCUCACUGGGAUUGCCAUCAGGAUUUUCACUAGGAUUGCCAUCAGGAUUUUCACUAGGAUUGCCAUCAGGAUUGUCAUCGGGAUUCUCACCAGACUUAUCAUCGGGAUUCUCACUGGGAUUGCCGCCUGGAUUUUCAAGGGGAUUGUCACUAAGAUUCUCACUGGGAUUGCUACCAGGAUUGUCACCAUCAUUAACAGUUAUAUUUUCACCUGGAUUUGCAUUUGCAUUAGCAUUUGCAUUAGGAAAUGCAUUAUUUGCAUUUGCAUUGGCAUUUGCAUUGGCAUUAGGAUUUGCAUUAUCAUUGCCAUUGCCAUUGGCAUUAGGAUUUGCAUUGGCAUUAGGAUUUGGAUUGGCAUUAGGAUUUGGAUUGGCAUUAGGAUUUGUAUUGGGAUUAGGAUUUGCAUUGGCAUUGGCAUUAGGAUUUGUAUUGGGAUUAGGAUUAGGAUUUGCAUUGGCAUUGGCAUUUGCAUUUGCAUUUGCAUUUGCAUUAGGAUUUGUAUUGCCAUUUCCAUUAGCAUUAGUGUUAGCACCAGGAUAACCACCGGUUCCACCAACAUUAGUACCAGCGUUACCGACCACAUUUGCAUUUUGAUUGAAAUCAAACCUAGUCGAAGAUUGAUCACCACCACAAUCACAAGGACACUUGUGAAUGGGGAAGAAGGUGAGUAAACGAUGAUUAAAGUUAGAUUUGAACAUUCCACCAAGAUUACAUUCACAAGAACACUGGAAAAGUGGCAGAAACUAAUUGGGUUGUGAAGAUGAGAGAGACAAGCAGAAGAGUAAGACUUGACAUUGUUUUAAAGGAAGUUUCCAUGUUUUUUGAACUCUUAAUCUUUUUCUGUGUUCUUUCCUUGUUCAGACCAUAGAGGUAUUUGUAGUUAUGUUGAACAAACUAAGACCAAACAUUUUUGGUCCACUUCAGGAUAUGUUCACCCUAUUUUGGCAAAUUUGAUAUUUGUUUAUUAUUUCUUUUUUCGGAAGUAAUUAAGAUAGUACUUAUGAAACAAAAGACACCAUAUAUUAUCUUCUUUUUUGUUAUUAUGGGAGUUACCAACAAAUACAUCCUAAAAUAUUUAUCCAUGUUAUUCUAAAGAUCUUUCAAUGUAUGCAUAACUUCCUUAGAAAUUAGAAUGUUUCAUUCCAAUAAAUUUUUUAUACUUUUUCUAGUUUAUUUGAUAUAUAUUAGUUUAUUCCUAAUUGAAUAAAGAAGUAAUACUAGUUUAUUGGAUAAAUAUUGUUAAGUAUACCUCAUCUUAUUAAUUCCAUGAUUUUAGUAAAAUCCUUUAUAGAUUUAAAGUUUAAACCUAUAGUAUUUUUUUUUAUAACGGAGUAUAUCUUUUUCCAAAUAUAAAAAUGUUUACCUUCAGAUGAUAUACCAGAACCACAUAAUAUAUCACUGGUUAAAUCGUUGUGAAAUUAAAAAAAAUAUAGACAACAAGAUUUGAAUCCCAUACCCUCAAAAGCUUAAUAAUUACUGUUACCAAUUGAACUAAUCGUCCUGUGUAACCCUUAGUAAUUUUUCAUAAGGUCGUACUAUAUAUUUAGAGGAAUUUUUUUCAUGAUACAUUUAAUUAAGAUUUAUAAUAAAUUAAUUCUUAAUCAAAAUGAUUGUGAAAACCAUAUUAUUUUAUGGUCUAUUUUCUGUACAACCAAUGAUCUUUACUAAGACGAAUUGAAUUGAACUCAGUUUAUUUAGAUAUAUUGACAUACAAGAGAUGGAAUAAUGGAAAAUUCUGAAAUUAUAAUUAAAUCUACUUGAAGUCUAUGAUUGAAUUUAAAAAAAAUGAAAAACAAAAACUAAAUUGAACAAAUUGAAUUAAAAGAAAAGAAUAGAACAAAACAUAACAGAACAUUAAGAUGAAAUUUAACGAGUUAAUCUGAAAUUAAAAGACAAAUCUAUUGGGAAAAAAAAAAUUAAUUACAAAAACAUUUACACAAUUUGACAAGAGAAAUUGAAAGGAACUACAAAAUAGAAAGAAUAAGAUAACUUGGAACUUUCUUUUCAAGUUGAAAUCGAUACCUGAAGCAAAAUAAAUGCCGACUAAGAAACAAAUAUUGCCGACGAAAGAAUCAAAAGAAGAAGAUCGCAAAAAGAAUAAACUUGCAACUUAAGGUGGAAAAGAAACUGAAAUUACAACGUAUCUCUCCUUUUCCUUUUAUCGGAUUUUUUGAUUUUGUACCAACUAUGAGUAGAAUGUAUGUAUUUGUGAAAUUGUGUAAAUAUUGAGUGGUUAGUAGUAUUAAACUGGUCGCGUGUAGCUGUCCGUAGAGUUUAGACGGACAGUAACGAGCUCCGGCGAAGUCUCCUGUCGGAAUAUUCAAAGUUAAGAAAAAGGGGGGAAUUUGAAAGUUAUUUGACCUAACUUCCCAAAGUAGUUGCUAAAGUAGAAAACUGAUUCUUCAAUUAAUUAGAAAUGAAUUGUUUACACUUGUAUUUAUUAGAUAACAGCAGACUCAUUAACUGAAUUAACUACUAGCUAAUAUAACUGAAUUAACUACUAGCUAAUACUGAACUAAUUCUCUGAUUGCUCCAUCUUGUGUAUUGGGCCUCUGACAAUAAUUGGCCCAAUGCUUAUUUAUUAUUUACUUGUAACUUUGAAGCCUAGUCCUUGGUAUUAACUCUCCUUUAAGCCUGCUACCAGAUAUACCUUUAAUCACAAGUUAGUCCAGUGAAUGUUUAUCAUCUAAUUACUUCUUUACUCCCCCCUCAAGCUCUGGAAUAAAUGUUAAUUAUUCCAAGCUUGUUAGUGGCUGAAGUAAUCUCAUUUUCACCCAUGGGUUUAGUAAACAUGUCAGCUAGUUCAUAUUUAGUUCCAAUUUGCCUUAGACUAAAAACUCUUUGAGUGAUUAAGUCUCUUGUAAAGUGGCAAUUUAUUUCUAUGUGCUUUGUCCUUUCAUGAAUGACGGGAUUAUUAGAUAAAUGGAUUUCCGAUUUGUUAUCACAAUAUAUGGUUGUUUGAUUUUGAGUUUUAAUUUUCAUUUCUUUAAGCAGCUGGUGAAUCCAUAUUAUUUCACAAGCUGUAUGAGCUAUAGCCCUGUAUUCUGCCUCACAUGAGGAUCUGGAUAUUGUCACUUGUUUCUUGGAUUUCCAAGACACUAUUGAGUCUUCAAUCAUGAUGCAGAAUCCAGUCACUGACUUUCUACUGAUUUGGCAUCCAGCCCAAUCAGAGUCAGAGUAGGCAUGGAUACUCAUGUUUUCUUGGUUUUUGUAUAGUAUACCCUGACCUGGGGCACCUUUGAGAUACCUUAGCACUUUGAACAAUGCUUUUAAAUGAAUUUCUUUAGGCUCACUCAUGAACUGGCUUAGCCAGUGUACUGCAAAACUAAGGUUAGGUCUUGUGAUAUUUAGGUAUAUGAGUUUCCCAACUAAUUUUCUAUAAAAAGUGGGAUCCUCAAUUUGUUUUGAUUUAUCAUUUUUGAUGUCCAUGUUUCUUUCCAUGGGUAUUUUAGAUUCUUUGGCUCCUAAAAGGCCACUUUCUUCCAAUAUUCCUAAUGCAUAUUUUCUUUUGGAUAGAAGAAUGCCUUUACUGUAAUAUGAUACCUCAAUCCCUAGGAAGUAACUUAGCUUUACUAUGUCCUUUAGUUUAAAUUUAUUUUCUAGUUGUGCUUUUAACAAGUCUAUCUCCAACUCAUUGCUACCUGUAAGGAUUAUGUCAUCUACAUAAACCACUAAAUAUACAAUGUUUUUAUUUUUCUCUCUUAUGAAGAGAGAAUAGUCUGAUUUUGCUUGUGUAAAACCAAGGUCUACCAAGGUGUUUCUUAAUUUCUCAAACCAGUUCCUAGAGGCUUGUUUAAGUCCAUAUAAGGACUUUUUAAGUUUGCAUACUCUCUUAUCUCCGUCUUUGAGGAGUCCUUGGGGUGGUUUUAAGUACACUUCCUCAUGUAAAUCUCCAUGAAGAAACGCAUUGUUAACAUCAGUUUGGUGUAAGUUCCACAUUCUUUGAGCUGAAAUAGCUACUAAGAUCUUUACUGUAGUCAUUUUUGCAACAGGUGCAAAGGUUUCAUAAAAAUCAAACCCUUCCUUUUGAGAGAAGCCUUUGGCUACUAGCCUAGCUUUAUAUCUCUCAACAUCUCCAUUGGGUCUAUAUUUAAUUUUGUAAACCCAUUUUGAUCUUACUGACUUUCUUCCUUUUGGAAGCUCACUAAUGGUCCAAGUGUUGUUUGAGAUGAGUGCAUCCAUCUCUUUUUUCAUUGCAUCAACCCAUUUUGGGUUGCUUGAUGCUUCACUGAAUAUAUUAGGUUCAAUAUUGUUUGAGAUCUGUGUCAAAAAUUUGUGUGUCAUUUACUCUAUGAUAUGAUACAUAGUUACUCAUUGGAUAUUUAGUUUUGCUAGUGUGAUCAUUUCCCAUAUAGAAAUCAUUGAAAUGUUUGGGUUUUGUUAUUAUUCUCCCCAACCUUAUUUGUUUUGGUUUCUCAGUUUGCAUUUCUUUCUGUUUGUCAGCUUCUUGUACUGCUGAAAUUUGACUUUUAUUAACAUCAUAUUCAUUGUUGUGUGAAUAUUCUCCUGAAUUAGAUACAUUGCUGUGUGAUCCCUAGGUCUAAGCUUUUAAGUUUUUUAUUUCUGAAUCAACUGUAAUAGUUCCCUGCCCUGGGUCACAACUUGCUUUGUUUUCUAUUUCAGGUAUUGUAUUUAUGUCAGACUGGGCAUUACCAGUUAUAUCUGGCAUAUGUUGUAUUUCUGAUGUGAUUUUAAGCUGAUCAGACUGGUUAUUUUCAUUUAUAUCUGACCUAUCUUUAGAAAUUACAUCAGAUCUUUUAUUUUUAUUUUUAUUUUCCAGGCUUGCUAUUUGUCGCUGUCUGAUUUUAGGAUGAUGAGUUUCUAUUAUUUCGUUUAAAAUUUCCUGUAAAGGAAAAAUGUUUAUUAUUUUAUUUUCUUGAAUCUUAGAAGAUAUUUCAUGAAAUGAGAAAAUAUCUUCCCUAAAAACCACAUCACUUCUUAUGUAGAAUUUUUGAUCUUCUAUGCAAGUACCAAGUAUCCUUUUAUGUUUGGAGGAUAUCCCAUAAAUACUCCUCUAAAGGUUCUUGGGGGAGAAUUUAUUUUCUUUAUUAUGUGAUGUAGCAUAACACAAGCAUCCAAAGGUUUAUAAACAAUUGUAUUUGGUUUUUUUUUAUGUAAGACUUCAAAUGGAGUCUUAUUAUCUAAAACCUUGGAUGAAAUCCUAUUGAUUAUAUAAGUUGCAGCUAACACACAUUCUCCCCAAUAUUUUAGGGAUAUAUUAGCUUGAAUGUGUAAAGACCUGGCUAUAUUCAGUAGACACCUAUGUUUCCUGAUGAAGCACGAAAUCUGCUACAAGUAGGCUCACGGGGUUGCGAGGAGGGUCAGAGGCUUUGGAGUCUACGACGUGCGCUCUACGUCAAUGUACCUUCAGAGAGGAGAAAAAUCGACGACUCAGGUGUGGGAGUCGGCGACUCGGGCUCCUUAGUUUCUCUGGUUGGAGUGUGUGUCAACUUGUUGUGGAGGGGAUGUGUUGAUGAAUGAGGACCCCCCAAAGGCCCCUUUUAUAGGGUCUUUGGGACGUUUCUCAUUCAUUGCCCGUGGGGCCCACGCUAUUAUGGUGCCCUAUUAAAGAUGUCAUAAUGGCGUGGGCCAAGUCAAGUAACGGCUGGGAGUCGGCGACUCAAGUAUGGGAGUCGGUGACUCAGGGUGAAGCCAUCGAUUUCCCAUGAGCCAGGUUGGAAGCCUACCAGAACUGACCAACGAGGCCCGGAAUCGGUGGCUCACCACUGGAGUCGGCGACUUGGUAGUCCCAGUCGCCGAUUCCCAGUGUUGACUUGAGUACUUGACGUAGACACUUGCCCGCAACCGUGGAUCUCUCCGGGGGUCCGGCAUAAAACGAUGGAACCUUAGUCCUUGUUGAAGGGCGUUGCUGAGAGUGACUGACGUAAUCAGGCAUGUCUCACCAGUACUCCCCCCUGAAGAGAGCACAAGAAACAUGCGUGUACCGCCAGUAUCGCCCCCAAGAAAGGUGAUCCGCAUCAAGGCCAAAACGACAAAAUGGGAUCAAGUCAUUGCGUUCACAGCGACACAAUGACUCCGCGUGAUCCAUGCACUAUCAGAUGGAUUGAUUUACUAUCAGAAUCUAGUUCCAGGCCAACGGAACUACGUGUUUAUAGUCCUACUCUGAUCAGGAGCGACUCUUUCUGUGUUAUCAUCAAGGCCAAAGCGACAAGAUGAGAGGAGAUUAUUAAGGCCAAAGUGACAAAAUAAUUCCCAUCCAUUAAGGCCAAAGCGACAAAAUGGACCGACUCACUAUCAGAGCCUGAUUCUGGCCGAAGCGACAGAAUGCGUGGAUCUUGGCCAAAGCGACAGGAUCUAGUUCACUAUCAGAACUGAUGUUUAUAGUCCACCCUGAUCAAGAGCGACUUUACGUCCGCAACGACGGUUACCCCACCAAGGCCGAAGCGACAAAGUGGGUCGAGAUCAUUAAGGCUAAAGCGACAAAAUGAUCUCCAAGUCUAUCAAGGCCAAAGCGACAAGAUAGAGGAAUUAAUGAGGCCGAAGCAACAAAAUAAUUCUUAGUCCAUUAAGGCCAAAGCGACAAAAUGGACUUGGAUCUAUUGAGGCCGAAGCGACAGAAUCAUUCCUGCAAAACAAAAAUAACCUGCAAAAUAACUGUAUCAGUCUAAAGGAUAUAUUUAUUGAUUUACUGACCUUGCCGUGCGGGGCUGCUCCUCGUGCUGCUCCUCCUUAUGCUCAAUAAAUCCUCGAUUGAUCUGACCGAAGCGACAGAUCUAUCAUGCUCGUAAUGUGACAGCCUUUGGCCGAAGCGACAGAAGUGUCGGGAAGAGCUUAUGAUACUCCCCCCCGAGUUCGACAACUUCUGACCGAAGCGACAGAAGUGUCGGGGAGAGCUUGUGAUACUCCCCCCUUGAGAUCAUUAAGGCCGAAGCGUCAAAAUGACCUCUGGUCUACUAAGGCCGAAGCGACGAAGCAGGCCGACUCACUAUCAGAGUCUGAUUCUGACCAAGGCUACAAAUCCACUAUCAGGAUCCGAUUCUCGUCUCGGAUGCAGAACCUGCUGAUUCACUAUUAGAAUCUGAUUCCGGUCGAGUCUACAGAUUCACUAUCAGAAUCCGAUGCUAGCCCGGACUACGGAAUCUUACCUGCAAAAAAGGAAAACACUAUGCAAAACAACUAAAUUAGUCCAUAAACGCAUAUAUUUAUUAUUGAACUUACCGUGCGAUUUACCUUUCGUGAUGCCCUUCCUUUGCUCAAAUUUGUCCUUGGCAAAUAUGGCCGAAGCGACAGAUUUUACCAUGCUCAAAUUUUUUGACGACUUCUGGCCGAAGCGACAGAAGUGUCAGGAGAGCUUGUGAUACUCCCCCCGAAUUUUGACGACUUCUGGUCGAAGCGACAGAAGUGUCGGGAGAGCUUGUGAUACUCCCCCCGAAAUUUGACGACUUCUGCCGAAGCGACAGAAGUGUCGGGAGAGCUUGUGAUACUCCCCCCGAAAUUUGACGACUUCUGGCUGAAGCGACAGAAGUGUCGGGAGAGCUUGUGAUACUCCGCCCGAAAUUUGACGACUUCUGGCCGAAGCGACAGAAGUGUCAGGAGAACUUGUCAUACUCCCCCCGAAAUUUGACGACUUCUGGCCGAAGCGACAGAGUGUCGGGAGAGCUUGUGAUACUCCCCCGAAGAUUGUGCCUUGGUGACACACAAACUUUUGGGACGAGUGUUUUUCGAAGUAUGUGACUGUCGGUGAACUAUCUAUUGUUUUUCCUUUGCUAAUCUUUCAUAUAAAUUACCCUUCAAAUUGUAACUAAGGCCCGAAACUAGAUUCACAAGUCGUAAUUUAGCCGCUCUGGACGUAAAUUAGACUCUGCUAACCCUAUUGCUAGCCACUUUGGGCGUAGAUUUGGUCGUACGAAUCGUAGCUCAGCCUACGGUUAAAUUUACGGACAAUUUAUACCUCUAGAUUAGCGUAGGGUUACUAGAGAUAGAGCAGACGACGAAUCAGAGAUAUUCGACACUCAAAGGUUGCCUUGUAAUUCGGAACCUUAACGAUGGAGAUAGCUUGUGAUACUCCCUCCUGAAGUGUGAUGACUUCUGGCCGAAGCGUCAGAAGUGUCGGGAGAGUUUGUGAUACUCCUCCCUUGAAUUUUGACGACUUCUGGCCGAAGCGACAGAAGUGUCGGGACAGCUUGUGAUGCUCCCCCUUGAAAACAUACACUUGUGGCAGUUUUUAUUGUUAUUUUACCCGGAGUCGGCGACUAGAGGCCACCAGUCGGCGAUACGUAUGGUCGGGGUAACUGCAAGGGGCAUUUUUAUUUUUUACCCAUGUGAGUCGACGACUCCUAGCGUAACCGUCGGAUUUUUUUGGGAGAUCCUUGGGAUAUUUGGAAGAUAUACGGGGAAUAUUUGUAAAAUCUCCAAAUAAGGAAAUGCAUCUCACAGUGCUGUGAGAUUUUGUAAGGAGUCGGCGACUGCCCUGUGGAGUCGGCGACAUUGGCGUGAUUUGGGGGAUUUGGAGAUCGAUUCCCGAUCUCAAAUUUCGCAAAUAUUGGAUUUUCUAGGGGGUUUUUGCAAUUUUCCCAGGGGCUAUAAAUAGUGAAGAGUUUUUCCCCAAAACCUCACAACACUUUUUGCCUCCCUAAUCGCUAAAACGCUAGAUUUUUAAGUAGCCGAUUCCCAAGUGAUCUUCCUCUGAAUCGACGAUUCCAAUCAUGUCUUUCCCCGAUUCCCAUUUGUCUCCCUUGAAGGAAGCCGAAACGUCCGCUUUCAUUACGGAGAUGACCGUUGAGGGUCUCGAUGAGGUGUUGAACACCGUCGAGUCAUCGAUUCCUUCUCCUAACAGAGAGGUUGAGUCGGCGACUCCGGUCGUUUCACCUCUUAAUAUGGAUCUGAGUGCCUCUAUGCACGAACUGCUUGGCACUUCGCCAGUGUCGGCGACUCCCCUUGUGGAGUCGGCGACACAGUGCAAGGCCUUCGUAGUCAUGUGAGAGCCUCUCGAGCUGAGGGAGAUUCCUGAGCCUUCUGUGUCGGCGAUUCCCAUCGUGGAGUCGGCGACACAUGCUGGGCCCAUCAAGGGAAAAUCCUUCAAGCGGAGAGGAAAAGGCUCAGCUGCCAUUGGGUCGGCGACUGCUGGCCGUGACUCGCCGAUUCCUCUUAUUGAAUCGGCGACUCGAGUGCUAGAGUCGGCGACUCCCAUGCAGGUAGAUGACUCCUCUGCGCGUCACACUGCUCCGUUGCUUGUGAAUGCGGAAGGUCACAUUGUGUCGGGACUGAACCCGUACCGAGGGGUUCCUGUGGAUGGUCCCUCUUUGAAAAGAAAACGAAGACGCACCACUGGUAAGGGCAAGGUACAUGUGCCCGAACAAGACGAGGGGGUCCCUCCGCCCCUUAACAUUAACUUUGACGAGGCAUUAUUCGUGGACCGUGGUGCUUCCAAUCCACGCCGUCGAGCGAGCCGGCGCUCCGAAAGAACUCCGCCACCUCCCGUGGACUUGGAUUCUAGUCGAGUCCGGACCUCGACCUGAACACGUACGUUGGAGCUUUGAACCCAUCUGGGUUCGCUCACUGUGAAGUCGCCUUGAAUGGCGAACCAAGGUUGUUUCCAAUAGGCCGCUCCGGGGACGGCGAGUUUGAGCAAGUUAUGACCCAUGCAACCUUGGAUGGAUCUGAUGGAUUGAAUCCCCCUUCAAACCUUAACGCGAGCGACGCUCGAGGUCUGCUAUAGGGGAUUCAAUUUUCUGGGCACUUGCGAUUUUGGAUAUCGAGCUACCAGCCUGUGAAUCUGCCAGCCCCGGGAUUCCAGGCUAUCCCAAGAAUCUACUUCAAGCACUUCUCCGAGCUGCCGAUUCCGGAGAUAAUCAGCGAAGUGCUUCUGACUUUUGAAGUGUCCCUGUCGCAGCUCCCGGCGGGAUUCUUUGUGAUCCUACGGGGAUUUAUGAACAUCUGCUGGGGCCUUAAUAUUGCUGCAACCGCAAGCUUGUUCCUUCAUUAUUACAAGCUUGUGAGAGAGAAAUCUGGAUCUGGUCGCGUUGGAUUCACACGACGUCAUUUUGACAAGAAUAUCGUCGAUGAACUGCCGACGAAUUUUGGCUGCAACUGGAAGGAGUUCUUCUUCAUCACAUCUGAGUUUCUUCCCGGGAGUCGGGAAGCGUGGAAUGAUCUCUAUCGAGUGCAUAUGAAUGCUUCGAUUGGGUUGACUACGAGGGAUAUAGAGGUCUCGGACCGAAUAGCGUGGACUCUAACUGAAUACUCCAUGCCGCGCGGUGUUCCCUUUGUCCUUUGCCAAAGGGAAGACUUCACUUUUGAGGACGUAGAAGAAGCUCAUCAACCACUGACUGAGAAGGAGUUGGAGGGCGGGAAAAAGCGAUCGCUUUUAUACUAUGACGCCGCUCCUAUCUAUAUGCGCAAGCGGUUCCGAGAGGGCAAGCUCAUCCGAUUAAGAAAAAAGAAAACCAAGCGUGCUGAGCCUCGUCGGAUCUUUGAGCAAGGGUCAAGCUCUCGCUUCGCACAACCACCUCCUGCUGGUUAUGUGCCCUACACUUCUGCUGGCGUGUCGCUUCCCGAUUUCAAUGCGGAUCCUGAAACUCGGAGGGAAGCGAUGUCACUCCUUAUGGGCCACUCUGGGACGUGGUGUCGGAGCGAGCUGCUCAAGCAUAUGACUGCCGCUUGCUACAUGGCGCAUGCUUGCUAUCACGCCAACUCGAUCCAUGAUGUCGAGAAGAUUCAGGAAAGAUAUAACCAACUCGACACGAAGUUCAAGGAGAGCGAGAAGGCCUUGGACAAGCUGAGAAAUGUGAGGUCCCGGAUGGAGAAUCUGCGCGACAACAUUCUGCCUAAAAAGGACAAGACUAUUGAGUCCAAGCAGAAGGAAAUCGAUGAAUAUGUCGCGAAGAUAUUGGGACUUCGCAAGGAUCUAAAAUCUGCUACUGCUGGUCGUGCUCAAGAGGUUGAAGACUUGAAGAGUCAACUAGCUCGCGAGACAGGGCGCGUAGCCUCGCUUGAGGCUACUAUAGCGGAUCUGAAGAAGCAAGCUGCCCAACAUCAAGGAGAAACAACAGGGCUGAAGAGUGAGCUGGCGAGUGCAGAAGAGAAGAUAUUAGCUCUCAAGGAUGACAACGCUGCACUCUCUGGAAAAGCUGCAGGAUUGGAAUUGGAUGUGCGAUACCAAUCCGAUCAGCUUCAAGAACUCAUCUUCUUUGGCCCUUCUGUGUUUCCUGCUCUACCUCCUAACUAUAUCACGGACAUAAUGGCAUGGGUAGAGCAGCAUCCUGAGGAGCUUGAAAAGAACAAGGAAGUUCUGGACAGAAUGAAGGACGAAGCAGCCCAAGAUUAGAUCUUCUUUGUCAGUUUUUUUUUGUAUAAUUGUUAUCUUUUUGUAAUCUUUUUUGUUUGAACUUUUAAUGAAUUAAUCGUUUUUGCUUUUCUAUUUAAUUGUUCAUUUACUUUAUUCUUUUGAAUUGUAACUAAGACCCGAAACUAGAUUCGCGAGUCGUAAUUUAGCCGCUCUGGACGUAAAUUAGACUAACCCUAUCGCUAGCCACUCUAGGCGUAGACUUGGUCGUACGAAUCGUAGCUCAGUCUACGGUUAAAUUCGCGAAAAUAAAUUAAACUUCACAACUAAUAGAAACUCGCAAUAUCGACUAACAAGUUCAAAAGAUCGAAAGAUAACAAAACAGAUAUGAUUAACCUUAAGACUCUAGAAUUGUGUUGUAGUUUUACUCCGGUCGUAGCGACGGAGUGAUUUUUUACCUUCAUCGAGGCCAUAGCGACAAGAUGAGGUUGGAUCGUUGUGGCCGUAGCGACACAAAAGAUUUCUAAUCUAUUGAGGCCGAAGCGACAAAAAUAGACUAGCGAGAGUUUAGAAACCCUAACCGUGAGUGAUGUAAAAAUCUUAGGGUUUUAUUCGUUUGUUCUCUAUAUGUUCUUGUGACUUAUACCCAUGUAGUUCACCUCUGGCCAAAGCGACAGAGUGAUCUGAACCUUCAUCGAGGCCAUAGCGAAAAGAUGAAGUUAAAUUGUUAAGGCCAUAGCGAUAAAACAAUUUCUAAUCUAUUAAGGCCGGAGCGACAAAAUAGAUUUUUCAUUUAGGGUAAAGUCGUAAAUUUAGAGAAACGUAACUUUUUUUAUUAUUAAAAAAGAGAAAAAACAUAUGUUUGAAAUAAAAUCUAACUAUAUUAUUUUGCUAUACAUCGAAAGGACCGAAGGAAUGGAAGGGUCAAUACUAAGCGUAGUAUUGUUGCAUGUUGUCUGUAUGCCAGGUGUUUGGAACCAUUGUUCCAUCCUGUCGCCGUAAGCGAUAAGUUCCUGGCCUUAUCUUUUCUUCGACGAUGUAUGGACCCUCGAAGUUAGAUGACAACUUAUUCCUUGGUCUAUUACUUUCGGUGAUACUAGCCUUCCGCGUGACGAGGGUUCCCGGCAGAAACACUUUUUUGCGUACUUGGCGAUUGUGGUAUCGUGAUACGCUGGCCUUGUACGAUUCAUUCCGCAGGUCUGCCUCAUCGCGGGUUUCAUCCCUCAACUCUAGCUCUGUAGCUAGGUUUUCGUCAUUGUUUUGCUCGUCGUACUUCGAGACCCUGUAUGUUGGUAUACUCAUAUCGAUUGGUACGACAGCCUCUACUCCAUAUGUCACAGCGAAGGGGGUGUUUCCUGUGGGAUUUUUACUAGUUGUACGAUAUGCCCAUAGAAUUUCGCACAACUUAUCCGCCCAGGCCCCUUUUGCCGAUUCGAUUUUCUUUCUGAGCCCUUGUACGAUGGCCUUGUUGGUUACCUCCACUUGUCCGUUUGCCUGUGGUCGGUAAACGGAAGCAAAGUGGAGUUUUGUGCCCAAGUCCUCGCACAUUCUCGAAAACUUCCCCCCUGUGAAUUGGGUACCAUUGUCUGUGACAAUGUGUUGGGGAACUCCGAAUCGGCACACUAUGGAGCGAUAUACAAAUUUGACUGCCGCAUCUUGAGUGAUCUUUGCUACAGCCUGAUCCUGAACCCAUUUUGUGAAGUAAUCAACUUCCACGAAAAUGAAUCGAGCUUGGGAUGUUGAGGGUGGGAAUGGUCCUACGAUGUCCAGUCCCCACCUUGCAAAUGGGAUCGAGCUCAAGAUCGGAGUCAUGUCCACGGAUGCUUUUUGUUGCAUUGGGCUAUGCAACUGAUAUGCUCGGCACUUGCGGACGUAAGUGCGAGCCUCUAACCGUAAUGUGGGCCAAUAGUACCCCAGCCGUAUGAUUUUGAAGGCUAGUGCUCUUCCUCCCUCAUGGAGUCCGCAUGAGCCUUCGUGUACUUCCUUGAUGACCUUAUCAGUAUCGGGUUUGGGCAGACAACGUAACAACGGGCUGUCGAAGGACUUUUUAUAAAGUACCCCUCCGACUUCGCAGUACUUGGCUACUUUGUGUUGCAAUUUUUUGGCCUCGCCCCUAUUGUCGGGAAGUACACCACUUUGAAUGAAUGCCAGUAUUGGUUGUCUCCAAUCCUUUGAAGGGUCGGAUGUGACAUUCAAUACCUGGCACAGGGCUGGAGUACAGAGUCUACCAGGAUUUCACGCUGGCCUCCCUCCCAGGCCGAUGCUAGCCUUGCUAGAGCAUCGGCGGGUGUGUUCUGAGUUCGAGGAAUUUGCUCGAUUUUAAACUCAGCGAAUUAUUUGGUGAGUUCUACCAUGGUUUCCACAUAUUUUGUGAUCUGUGGUUCUUUGCAGGCGAACUCACCCGUGGUUUGUCGAGCCACGAGCUGGGAGUCAGUGCGAAGCGUGACUUUCUCAGCGCCGAGAGUUCGCAACAACUAUAAGCCAUGAAUGGCUGCUUCGUAUUCCGCGACAUUGUUUGAUGUCGGGAAGUGGAGCCGUAUCGAGUGCUCAUAGUUUUUUCCAUCUGGACUAUGGAUUUUCACUACGAUACCUGAGCUUGUGCUGGAACUCGACCCGUCUACUUCCACAGUCCAUGGUUGGGCUAAGUUGGAUGGUGUGAGUUCAACUAUCAAAUCUGCCACAGCUUGCCCCUUGAUGGUAGUGGCUAGUCGGAAAUCCAAAUCGAACUCACUGAGCUUAAUUGCCCAUUUAGUUAACCUACCCGAUAUGUCUGGCUUGUGGAGUAGACGGCGUAGGGGACACGAUGUAAGUACUACGAUCAUGUGCGCUAAGAAAUAUGCUCGAAAGCGACGACAAGCAUGGAUUACAGCAUAUACAAUUUUCUCAAUCCGAGAGUAUCGUAUCUCUGCUCCUUGUAGUCGCCUCGAGUGAUAGUAGAUGGGGACUUGUUCCUUAUCCCUUUGUGCGAUAUGGACUGCACUUACGACCUCUUCUGAAGCUGCUAUGUACAAGUACAUAUCUUCCCCAUACCUGGGUGAGGUCAGCAUUGGAAGCGAGGACAUGUGUGCUUUUAACUUGGUAAAAGCCUCCUCGCAUUCCGGUGUCCAAGUGAUACUACCCUUGGCCGCAGUUUUUAGUAGUUGGAAGAACGGUUUGCAUUUGUCAGCCGUUUGCAAUAUGAAACGACUGAGUGCAUUGAUUCGACCGUUCAACCUUUGUACUUCUCUAAUUGUGCGGGGGCUUCCAUAUCGAGUAUCGCUUUGAUUUUCUUGGGAUUUGGUUUAAUCUCGUGCUGACCUACGUAGAAACCAAGGAACUUCCCUUCCUUGAUUCCGAAGGAACACUUACUCGGAUUAAGCCUCAUUCCGUAUUGCUUUAGUGUCCUAAGGAUUUCUCUCAGAUCCUCAGGGUGUUUUUCAACGCUCGUUGAUUUGACCAAGAUGUCAUCAACAUAAGCGGAAACAUUACGCCCGAUCUGGUCUUCGAAAACCCUGUCCAUUAAGCGUUGGAAUGUAGCUCCCGCAUUCUUUUGAUCGAAUGGCAUUACUUGAUAACAGAAUGUCCCUGAGUCCGUGAUGAAGGAUGUUUUCUCUUCAUCAGGCUCAUGCAUCAGGAUUUGGUUAUAUCCUGAGUGGGCAUCCAUCAUGGAGAGGAGUUCGUUACCAGACGCUCCGUCGACUAACUCGUCGAUGGAUGGGAGCGGGUAACUAUCCUUGGGGCAUGCCUUAUUGAGAUCUGUGAAAUCAANNNNNNNNNNNNNNNNNNNNNNNNNNNNNNNNNNNNNNNNNNNNNNNNNNNNNNNNNNNNNNNNNNNNNNNNNNNNNNNNNNNNNNNNNNNNNNNNNNNNAAGUAAUGGCUGGGAGUCGGCGAUUCAGGUGUGGGAAUCUCCGAUCCAGAGGUUCAAUUGCCGACUCCCCAUGAGCCUAGUGGCAGUCUUCCAGAACUGUCGACGAGGCCUAGAGUCAGCGAUUCACUCCUGGAGUCGGCGACUUGGUAGUCCCAGUCGGCGACUCCCAGGUGCUGCCUUGAGUACUUGACGUAGACACUCCUUCCGAAUUCGAGGGGGAAUAUCACAAGCUCUCCCGACACUUCUGUCUAUUAGAUAGAAGUCGUCACAUUUCGAGGGGGAGUAUCACAAGCUCUCCCGACACUUCUGUCGAUAGGAUAGAAGUCGUCACAUUUCGAGGGGGAGUAUCACAAGCUCUCCCGACAGUUCUGUCUAUUGGAUAGAAGUCGUCGCAUUUCGAGGGGGAGUAUCACACGCUCUCCCGACAUUUCCGUCUAUUGGAUAGAAGUCGUCCCAUUUCGAGGGGGAGUAUCACAAGCUCUCCCGACACUUCUGUCGCUCCGGCCAGAAGUCGUCAAAAAAAUUGAGCACGGUAAAAUCUGUCGCUUCGGCCAAAUUUACCGAGGACAAAUUUGAGCAAAGGAGGGACAUCACGAAAGGUAGAUCACACGGUAAGUUCAAUAAUAAAUAUAUGCGUUUUCGAACUGAUCUAGUUGUUUUGCAGGAUGUUUUCUUUUUUGCAGGAAAGGUUCUAAUAGUGAACCAGGUUCUAAUAGUGAACCAGACUCUGAUAGUGAGUCAGCAGGUUCUGUAUCCGAGGCGAGAAUCGGAUUCUGAUAGUGGAUCUGUAGCCUUGGUCAAAACCAGACUCUGAUAAUGAGUCAGCAGGUUCUGUAUCCGGGGUGAGAAUCGGAUUCUGAUAGUGGAUCUGUAGCCUUGGACAGAAUCAGACUCUGAUAGUGAGUCAGAUUCUAGUAGUGAAUCAGCAGGUUCUGUAUCCGAGGCGAGAAUCGGAUUCUGAUAGUGGAUCUGUAGCCUUGGUGAAAACCAGACUCUGAUAAUGAGGUAGCAGGUUCUGUAUCCGGGGCGAGAAUCGGAUUCUUAUAGUGGAUCUGUAGCCCUGGACAGAAUCAGACUCUGAUAGUGAGUCAGAUUCUAGUAGUGAAUCAGCAAGUUCUGUAUCCGAGGCGAGAAUCGGAUUCUGAUAGUGGAUCUGUAGCCUUGGUCAGAAUCAGACUCUAAUAGUGAGAAGGCACUUCUGUCGCUUCGGCCAGAAGCUGUCACAUUUUUUAGCAUGAUAGAUCUGUCGCUUCGAACAGAUCAAUCAAGGAUUUAUUGAGCAUAAGGAGGAGCAGCAUGAGAGGCAGCUCCGCACGGCAAGAUCAGUAAAUCAAUAAAUAUAUCCUUUAGAUUGAUAUAGUUGUUUUGCAGGUUGUUUUUUGUUUUACAGGCACGAUUCUGUCGCUUCGGCCAGAAUCAAGCAAAGAAUUAUGUUGUCGCUUUGGCUUCAAUAGUUCUUCGAACAUUUGGAGAUCAUUUUGCCACUUUGACCUUAAUGAUCUCAACCCAUCUUGCGCUUCGGCCUAUGGGGUAACCGUCGUUGCGGACACCAAGUCGCUCUUGAUCAGGGUAGACUAUAAACAUCAGUUCUGAUAGUGAACUAGAUUCUGUUGCUUCGGCCAGAAUCAGAUUCUAAUAGUGAAUCCACACGAUCUGUCGCUUCGGCCAGAACCCGAUUCGGAUAACGAAUCCAAGCAUUCUGUUGCUUCGGCCAGAAUCAGAUUCUAAUAGUGAAUCCACGCAUUCUGUCGCUUCGGCCAGAAUCCACACAGCAAAAGUCACUCUUGAUCAGAGUAGGACUAUAAACAUGUAGUUCCAUUGGCCUGGAACUAGAUUCUGAUAGUGAAUCAGUCCAUCUGAUAGUGCGUGGACCACGCGGAGUCAUUAGUGUCGCUGUGAGCACAAUGACUCAAUCCCAUCUUGUCGCUUCCUGCCUUGAUGCGGACUACCUUGCUUGGGGGGGGGAUACUGAGGCUACACGGGUGUUUUGCCAUGCUCUCUUCAGGGGGGAGUACUGGUGAGACAUGCAUGAUCACGUCAGUCACUCCCAGCAACGCCCUUCGACAAGGACUAGGGUUCCGUCGCUUUAUGCCGGACCCCCGGAGAGUUCCACGAAUUCGGAAGGAGUGUCUACGUCAAGUACUCAAGGCAGCACCUGGGAGUCGCCGACUGGGACUACCAAGUCGCCGACUCCAGGGGUGAAUCGCUGACUCUAAGCCUCGUGGACAGUUCUGGUACACUGCCACUAGGCUCAUGGGGAGUCAGAGAUUGAACCUCUGGAUCGGCGAUUCCCACACCUGAAUCGCCGACUCCCAGCCGUUACUUGAGUGGGCCCACGUCAUUAAGGCACUCCUUAAUAGGAUACCUUAAUGGGGUGGGUCCCACGCUAAUGAAUGGGGAAACGUCCCCCAGGACCCUAUAAAAGGGGUCCUUGGGGGACCUCUACCCUCAAGUCAUUCCCACUUGACACACACCAACCAGAGCAAUACUUGGAGCCCGAAUCGCCUACUCCCAAGAGAGUCGCCGAUUCCCCUCCCCUUCUGCAGGUAUAUUGACGUAGAGCGUGCGUCGUGGACUCCAAAGCCUCCGGCCCUCAUUGCGACCCCGCGAUUACAACGUACACGAUUUUCUCAAUCGGAGAAUAUCGUACCUCUUCUCCUUGCAGUCGCCUCGAGUGAUAGUAGAUGGGGACUUGUUCCUUAUCUCUUUGCGCGAUAAGGACUGCACUUACGGCCUCUUUUGAGGCCGCUAUGUAUUAGUACAGGUCUUCCCCAUCCCUGGGCGAGGUCAGCAUUGGAAGUGAGGACAUGUGUGCUUUUAACUUGGUAAAAGCCUCCUCACAUUCCGGUGUCCAAGUGAUACUACCCUUAGCCGCAGUUUUUAGUAGUUGGAAGAACGGUUUGCAUUUGUCAGCCGUUUGUGAUAUGAAACGACUGAGUGCAUUGAUUCGUCCGUUCAACCUUUGUACUUCUCUAAUUGUGCGGGGGGCUUCCAUAUCGAGUAUUGCUUGGAUUUUGUCGGGAUUUAGUUUAAUCCCGUGCUGACCUACGUAGAAACCAAGGAACUUACCUUCCUUGAUUCCGAAGGAACACUUGUCCGGAUUAAGCUUCAUUCCGUAUUGCUUUAAUGUCCUAAGGGUUUCUCUCAGAUCCUCGGGGUGCUUUUCGACGCUUGUUGAUUUGAUCAGAAUGUCAUCAACGUAAGCGGAAACAUUGCGUCCGAUCUGGUCCACGAAAACCUUGUCCAUUAAGCAUUGGAAUGUAGCUCCAGCAUUCCUUAGGCCGAAUGGCAUUACUCUAUAACAGAAUGUCCCUGAGUCCGUAAUAAAGGACGUUUUCUCUUCAUCAGGCUCAUGCAUCAGGAUUUGGUUAUAUCCUGAGUGGGCAUCCAUCAUGGAGAGGAGUUCGUUAUAUUGCAAUUGAGCCUCACCCUCCCAAACGAACCUGUCCUGGUGCUCCUCCAAGACAGUCACAAGCUUGUCUCUUAGGUCAGGGUCUAACCCUUUCCCUAAUGCCACGUGUCCCCCUUUCAGCUGGUACAUUUCAGUCUCAUCCACGGGUUGCAAUUUUUCCCUUUCCCCGUUGUCGGGUGGGGCGUGGACGAGCAUACUGUUUAGUUUAACCAUCUGAGUUGCUUUCUUAUACUCUUGUCUAGAAUCCUUUUGUGAUCCUUUGACAGUUGCAAUGAUCCCGUUGAUUGGGUAUCGUAUGCAUUGGUGAUAAGAAGAUGGGGCAGCUUUGAUCCCGUGGAUGAAGGGUCGUCCAAAGAUGCCGUGAAAAGUGGAUUCUACCUCCACCACUAUAAAAUGGCAUGUUCGACUAACCCUUCCCUUUUGGGAUCCGAUGGAGACCUUCAGGUCAAUAACGCCGGCCACUGGGGCGGCGACGUUAGUAAACCCAUAAAUGGCUUCAUUGCAAGGAAACAGAUCCUCCUUCUUAAGGCCCAUUUUAACGAAGGUGUCCAUGUAGAGGAUGUCCGCGGAACUGCCGUUGUCGACAAUCAUCCUCUCGACACGGGAUGUCGGACCGAUGUCUUCUUGGAUCACAAGUGGAUCCUCGUGGGGUAGCAGGACAUCGUCCAGGUCCUCUUCGGAGAAGUAUGUGGACUUCUCUUCCCGAGCCCUUUUCCCAUUGUCGCGAGGUGUAGACUGUGACAUCAGCACCUUCCGGGAGUAACCCAUAUUCUGACCAACAGAUCCGCCACCAAAUAUCAUAUUGAUGGUUUUCCGCUGGCAGUCCUCGCUACUGUCGCUGUCCGGCAAAAUUGUUCUCUUAGUGCCAAAAAUACCUGUCGUUGGUUUGGAAGUGGGGUAACCCUUGGCGGACCGUAAUUAGUAAAACCUUCCCUUGGGAAAGUGCCCCCUCUUGCGCUUCCCUCCAGUACCUCUCUAUUUUGUGGCCGAGUUUCCAGCCUUGGCUGCUUUUGUUGUAUGUUCUGGUCAUACUGGCCUUUCGGCCUUUGACGUAUCUGUUUGUAUUUUGCCUCGUGGUAGUCCUCCACGUUUGACUCCCUAGCUAUACGAUCUUUCCAUAGCUUCUGCAAAUGUUGAUGGAAGAUCUCGUACUAAAUCGCCUGAGAAUCUAGUUGGCCUUAGUCCAUUAACUAGUGCCAUCAGGACUCCUUCUUCUGAACAAAUGACUUUUUGAACUGCAACCGCAAAUCGAUCCAUAUAUUCCCGCGUUGACUCUCGGUCUCCUUGCACGACUGUUAACAAAUUUGUGUUUAAUCCCUUGCGCCUUAUUUGAUGCCCGAAGGCAAUUUUGAACACUUUCUCCAAGUCUUUGAAUGAAUUAAUGCUUCCCACGGGGAGGUUUCUGUACCACUCCACUGCCUCUCCUUUCAAUGUUCUUCUGAACAUACGACACCAAAUGUCUCUUCGCCCUGUAGUGUCCUCCAUUUCCGUACGGAAAUGAGUGAAUAUGAUCUUCCGGAUCCAUCGUACCAUCAUAUAAUGUCAUUUUUGGAGCCCUCCACCCCAUCGGGUAUUCUUCGCCUAAGAGAUGUCGCGCUAGAGCCUCCUCACUACCUGUCGGCGCAGGUUGAUCCAGAUAGAAAAUUGAUGGCCGUAUGGGCACAUUUCCUUGUAUAUUCUUGUUUGUUAAUGACAUAAUUCGUUCCUGAAGUUGUCUUUGAUUGUUUUGUAAGUCCGAGAUAACUGCUAGGAGUUGAUUCUCCCUUGAUCCCUGUGAUAUGAGAAAUGUUCUCCCAUAUCCCCUCUGGUCACUCAUGCGUUGCUCUGGUGAUCUCGACCGGCUUUGCUCCGACCAACUUAUAGAAAUACCAUCCUCUGGCAUUGAUCCUACAAUUAGCCGAGGAUCAUCCCAUGUUUGCUGUUGAGGGUGAUAAGGCGCUUCUUCAAUAUUAUUUUCCAAGUGCGCCGGUUCGUCUGUAACUUGAUUUUCUACGGGAAUUGCUGGUAGUUGAUUCUCGCACGCUUCGACCACCGAGAUUCCUAGGUUUUCCUCCAUCUGAAUUAUCCGAUCAGGCUGUUCCGAAUCCAUUUCACGUCAGGUUCGAUUCACGUUAGGUUCACCACUGAUCGUGUCCCUGUGAAAUGGUGACUGAUCGUAUAUUACAAUUAUAGUAACAACUGUUCUCCCCCCUUACACUUCACCCCUAGGGGUAUUUAUACAAUUUCCUACCGGACUCUAGACCCUGCGUUCUCGGACUAGGAUCCGACCUAAAGGACCCGACACACUUGGGACGCAAUCCUUGGAGAGAUAACCGUCCGGGCCGAUGAAUCCUCCCGGUCGGGCGAAUACCCGUGAGACGGCUUGGACCUUCCUCUUUUGUUCACUUCGCUGGGCCUUGUUUCUGGACUCUUGCGUGGGCCUGGGCUGAUGGAUUGGGGGUACCAUCAAUAUUCUAGAGGAGACUCAAGCCCACCAUCAGUCCAGGCCCAGCAAAGAUAAAUCUCAACAACAAAAUUAGUUAUUUGACAAAGAGAGUUGUAAAUAUAAUAGUAUAAAUAGGGUGUCAAACGAGUCGAGUCGAGCCAAGCUUUUGCUUAUAGAGCCGGGCUCGGGCUCGGCUCGUAAAGAUAUCAUUUGGGCUCGGGCUCAGCUCGUCAGAGAUUUUCCAUGCUUGAAAAUUAAAAGAAAUUUUUAUUUGGAGACAUGGAGAAUCAAACCCGGGACCUCUCACAUGCUUGACAAACCUUUUACCAUCUGUGCUACACCUCCACUCUCUAAAUUUAAUAUAUUUUUAGUUUUUUGUACUUCCUGAGCUCGAAUUAAGAGAAAUAAUUAUUUGGAGACAUAGGGAAUCGAACCCAUGAUCUCUCAAAUACUAAACAAACUUUUUAAUAACUAUGCUACACCUUUAUUCUCUAUAAAUUUAAUAUUUUUUAAAUUUUUCAUACAUACAAACGAGCCCUCACGAGCUUAACGAGCCGAGCUUGGCAUGACCAAGCUCGGGCUCGGCUCGUUAGCCCGAGCCUAAACGAGCCGGACUUUAUUUGACACCCUAAAUAUAAAUACUUGUAAUACAUUUAAUAAAAUAUAUUUAAGUUAAUUUUCUUUACAGAUAUAGAUUGUUACAUUCGUUCUUCCCCUAUCUUUUCUUACUCACGGCAGCAACAAUCUUAGCUUCUAAUUAGCCUCGUUUAGAGGUGAAUUCGGAGAAAAUUGAUUUUAUAUAUAGUAUCAUUGGGUUCUUAAUUGGAAACGCACGCUUGUGAUAUACUCUGUUCAUCUUCUUCUCGUCGAUUUCUAUUCAUGUAGGACGAGUGGGAGAUUUCAGAUUCGACGGAGAGAAUCGACGAUCUAGUCAUUCCCACAUAUGUGAAGGUCAAGAAAUUAUUGGAUCUGGAAUCUGCCUUCAUGACCAAGUCAUCUCCUUAUUAUUCACAUAGUAGUGAUAAUCCUAGUAUAAAAAUUGUGAAUGAAUUGCUUAAAGGUCAAGCAAAUUACUCCACUCGGCUCAAUUAAGGACAUGUCACUGUUUCUUGUUACCAAAAAGAAGCAGACAUUUAUCAACGACAAAAUCACCAAAUCCUAAAAUGAGAAUUCAGAUGAAUUUGAGGCAUGAGAGACAGUUAAUGGGGUGGUUUUUUCUUGGAUAAUCAAUGGGUGUGAAUGGAAUAACACGACAUCAAUUAGAUCGGCUAAUAGUGUUGAAGAGGCUUGGAAAAUGCUCAAAGUUCGAUAUAGCUAGGGUCAAGUUCUUCUAAGGUUUCAAAUUGGUUGUCAACAGCCACUUGUCAUCAAGAUCGAAAACAUGUGAGUGAAUGAUGUUGGUACCAUGGACCGCAGCCCAUGGACCGAACCGGACCAGCCGGCCCAGACGGACGGACGGGCGGGCGGACGAACGGACGGACGGGCCCGACCGUACGAGCCCACGAGGCCCAAUGACAACAAGUGAAGGCUAUAAAUACCUCCCCUGGUCCAACUGGGGAGGGGGUUGAUAAUUCUGAGAGUGAGACUUGUACUAGGUUGGACGGUGAGCUAGCUCCGGCGAACCCUCACACCAACAGUGGUGAACCUGACGUGAACAAAUACAUGACGGCCGGAGAGAGAAGGAUGACGAAGAGCGGUUACCAGGUGGGGGAGAGCUCUAAGCGACCCGAGCGGGCGGCGGAGGAGUACCGGUCGGCGCGACAUCACUCCCGCGACCGGUAUUCAGAGGAAGUAAGAGCCAACGAGGAAUGGGAUGACGAGGAUAGACUGCGCAUGGAGCUCGAGGAGAUCAGGUACGAGUGGGAGUCACCCGAGAGGCGCCGACACAAAGAGUCGGCGUCCCCACCAAAGGUCAGGAGAACGCGGUCCCGGUCGCGGUCCCGGGAGAGAAGGGAAAAGGAGCGCGAGAAGCUCCGACGAAGGGAGCGCGCGGAGGAGAAAGAUCGCGCGGAAAAAGAGAGCAAGCGAGAGAGGAUGCAGCUCGUGGAACUAAUAUCCAACCUGCAGGAGAGCCAGCGUCAGCUACAAGAGCAAGUCCAUCAGCUCACAGUGACCCCACACACCCUGGAGUCGGACGGGGGCGGGGGAGGGGAUCCCAUGUACGGGCCGCCCGCCCCCCUGGAGGGGAGACUCGGCAGCGACGCCCCACCCGUGGAGGCCCCACGAACCAUUGUGGCAACAACGCCGGGAGGGGGCAGUGGGGAGGCCCUGGUGCAGCACCUGCUGGACGAAGAGUACCCACCAGGCUGGAGAGCCCCGAAGAUCCCUUACUACAAGGGCGAUACAGANNNNNNNNNNNNNNNNNNNNNNNNNNNNNNNNNNNNNNNNNNNNNNNNNNNNNNNNNNNNNNNNNNNNNNNNNNNNNNNNNNNNNNNNNNNNNNNNNNNNNNNNNNNNNNNNNNNNNNNNNNNNNNNNNNNNNNNNNNNNNNNNNNNNNNNNNNNNNNNNNNNNNNNNNNNNNNNNNNNNNNNNNNNNNNNNNNNNNNNNNNNNNNNNNNNNNNNNNNNNNNNNNNNNNNNNNNNNNNNNNNNNNNNNNNNNNNNNNNNNNNNNNNNNNNNNNNNNNNNNNNNNNNNNNNNNNNNNNNNNNNNNNNNNNNNNNNNNNNNNNNNNNNNNNNNNNNNNNNNNNNNNNNNNNNNNNNNNNNNNNNNNNNNNNNNNNNNNNNNNNNNNNNNNNNNNNNNNNNNNNNNNNNNNNNNNNNNNNNNNNNNNNNNNNNNNNNNNNNNNNNNNNNNNNNNNNNNNNNNNNNNNNNNNNNNNNNNNNNNNNNNNNNNNNNNNNNNNNNNNNNNNNNNNNNNNNNNNNNNNNNNNNNNNNNNNNNNNNNNNNNNNNNNNNNNNNNNNNNNNNNNNNNNNNNNNNNNNNNNNNNNNNNNNNNNNNNNNNNNNNNNNNNNNNNNNNNNNNNNNNNNNNNNNNNNNNNNNNNNNNNNNNNNNNNNNNNNNNNNNNNNNNNNNNNNNNNNNNNNNNNNNNNNNNNNNNNNNNNNNNNNNNNNNNNNNNNNNNNNNNNNNNNNNNNNNNNNNNNNNNNNNNNNNNNNNNNNNNNNNNNNNNNNNNNNNNNNNNNNNNNNNNNNNNNNNNNNNNNNNNNNNNNNNNNNNNNNNNNNNNNNNNNNNNNNNNNNNNNNNNNNNNNNNNNNNNNNNNNNNNNNNNNNNNNNNNNNNNNNNNNNNNNNNNNNNNNNNNNNNNNNNNNNNNNNNNNNNNNNNNNNNNNNNNNNNNNNNNNNNNNNNNNNNNNNNNNNNNNNNNNNNNNNNNNNNNNNNNNNNNNNNNNNNNNNNNNNNNNNCGAUCUCUGGAAAGUCGACCCCUGGACCCAAUCUGAUCAGUUAGGCAGUUAGGCGGUUACUGCCCAAAUGACCAGAUUGACCCCAUAAGAACCCCUAUAAAUAGAGGGCACCCCCCACUCAUUAAAGGUAAGUCAUUUUGGAGAAGAAGAAUUCCUAGCGAAGCAGAGCUCUGCACACUUGAGUUCCGGUCCGGUUUCCUGCGGAGUUCCCCGCUUGGCGCUUGCUUGCGCGUCUUGGAGUACUGGUCGGGUUUCACCCCCAUCAGUAGCAGCUUCAGAAGAGGCUAUCAGUGCAGUUCUAAUAUGUCAAAGGGACAGUGAACAGAUCCUGAUAUAUUAUCACUCAAAAAGGCUACAAGGGGCAGAAACAAGAUAUCCUCCAGUGGAAAAAAUAGUCCUGGCAGUAGUACAUGCAGCACGCAGAUUCAGAGCAUACUUUCUGGCUCAUACAAUUAAAGUCUUAACAGAACAUCCACUCCGCAGAAUCCUCCACAGGCCAGAUACUUCCGGAAUAAAACACUAUCUUUUGUAUAUCUUUUGUAAUUGGAAGUUUCCAUGAGCUAUAAAUAAAACACUUGUCGGGAUGACUGAGCAUCCAAGUUUAAAACAGAAAACUCUAUCUUGCCUCCAACUCUUUAGGGAGAUCUUCUUUAAAAAUCCUAACCUCCGACCCAUCCUUGGGAUUCUAUCUCCAACUCUCCACCGGAGGUUUUUUCAUUGGUGCUUUCUUUGAACUCUCGCACGGACACUAAGUAAGCCUGUCAAUAGAUAUACGAAAUCCGAAUUUGUAUUCGUUUAGACCUAAACGAAUUCGGAUAAUCGAAUUCGGAUACUGAAAAUAUUAUCCGACACUAAUCGAAUUCGAAUUCGGAUACCUCUAAUCGAAUUCGAUAAUUAUCCGAAUUCGAAUAAAUAUUAAAUAUAUAAUAAUUUUAUAAUUUUAACCUUCUCUAAUAUAACAUUAUAAUAUAAUCUAUAUGUAAAUAUUAAAUAUCUUAGACCAUAUUAGCAAUAAAUAUUAAACAACAAUAAAUCAUUCUCAAAUAAUAAAAAUAUCAAAUCCCUAAAUCCCUAAUAAACCAUUCUUAUUUAGUUAUUUCAUAUUUCUUAUUCCCCCUUUUGAAGAGUAGGCGAGUAGCUAGGGUUUGUUCUUCACUUCUUUGUUCCCACUUCCCAUUCCCCCCUUUCUUAAGAGUAGCUAGGGUUUGCUCCUUCUCAUCAUGGUAACGGGUAAGCUUUCUCAUUUUCCUUCCAUCUUCCUUUGUCAUCUUCCUUUCAUCUUUUUUAUCUUCAAAGUGGGAUUUGUCAAAUUUGGGGAUUAUCUUCAUUGUUAAAUGUGUGGUUUACCGGGGAAACCAAGAUUGAUGCUCGAUCAAUUGAUCGAAGCCGAAUCAUCGUCAUCUUCUUCCAUGCAAGAAGAAAUCUUUAUGAGGGUUUUGCGCAAUAAGUCGAUUUUUUCUGUCUGUUUCCGCAAACUUUCCCAAUGACUGUAUUCCUCAUCUGCUCCAAAUCUCGAAGAUUCACAGCAGGUAUCGCCCUGUGAUUGUGCAACUGUUCCCGAUUCCACUUUAUCUAAUCCCUCCACCAAUGGUCAUGUCAAGUCCUUUGCCUUCCUACCAUCUUCGCCCAGUAAAUUAGAGAACGAAAUCCCAGAAAAAGGAUCCAAGGUUGACGCCGAUGAUGCGGUUGAGUCCUCAAGUUUCAUCGAUGACGAUUCACUGGUGACGGAUGGAAGGGAUGAACAAGCGUUUGACGGUGGUGCAGAGAAGGCCCUUCUUAAACAGGUGUUUAAUGGACAAUGGUUAACCUGUUCGAUAUCUCUAUGGAUGAUUGGAUGAUCUGGAAUUUAUAAAAUGAAGCCUAGAUUAUGUUAAAAAUUUAUGUUAAUUAUUAAGUACUUGUUAAUUUAUGUUAAUUCUGUUGUAUGGAUACUUGUUGUGUUGUAUUGGAUUGGAUUUAAUAUUUAUAUGUUAUAUUGUGUUGGGUUGUUAUGUUGUGUUGGGUUUUUUUAAUAUUACAGGUUUUUUUUUAAUAUUACAAGGUUUUUUUAAUAUUACAGGGUUUUUUUAACAAAAAAAAUAAAAUAUUAUUUUUGGUUUUUUUUAUAAAUGUUAUUCGAUAUUUUUAAUCGAAUUCGGAUACGGAUUUUGAAAUUCGAAUACUAAUCGGACAAAUUCGGAUUAUCCGGAUACUAUUCGAAUUCGGAUUAUCCGGAUACUAUUCGAACAGAUACAGGGUUAUCCGGUUCGAAUUCGUUCGAUUGACAGGGCUAGCGCUAAGGUAUUAGAAAUUUGUUUAAUCCUUAAUUGAAUUGAUUAUUCCCUUUCUUGAAAUAUUUUUUUCCCGUGAUUUUUUUUAUCAUGAACAGUGAUUCGGAAAAUAGGGAGGAGACGUUGGAGGAUAUUCGCCAAGCGUCAGGAGCAAUCAUAGCAGAACAAACAACCCGCCAAACAGAGGUAAGACAACGACAGAAUGCGACAAUUUCUGUCUCGCUGAAAGUAAACUGAAAAUGACAAAUGGGGGUGACCAAGGAGAGACUUUCUUCGAUCCAUUUAAAGGGGAGUCAUCGCAAGGCAAACGAUCCAUGAUUCUCUUGCGGCGACCCGGAAGGAUGGUUAUAUCAAGCCGAGGAAUAUAUCACCUUCCACGGCAUAGUAGAGGAGGUGAAAGUACAAAUUGCAAAGUUCCAUAUGACAUGUAAGGUGCUAAGAUGGAUCAGAGGGCUUCGCCGUAAUAAACUGAUACCAACUUAAUUGGAAACGGUUUAUGGACGAUUUAAGGAAGCGAUUUGGAAAGGCAGAGUACGAAAAUAAAUUAGAGGAUUUAUCGCAAAUUCAGCAAUCAUCGUCUUUGGAGGAGUACCUGGAUAAAUUCGAUUAUAUUAUAUCGCAAACAGGAAUGAUUAUAUUAUUCAAUUUUAUUUAUAAUAUAGUGAUUAUAAACAAAUAGAAAAUAUAUAGAUGUAUUUAAUAUAAUUUUAGUACAUAAUGGGAAUCUAAAAUGUGACCUCCCAAAAAAAAUGAUUUAUAUAUUUUUAUUCGUUCUAUUUAAUUUCAAGUUCUAUUUAUUUUAUUGGUUCAUUUUGAUUGUAAUCUACUUUCCUCCACCACCUCCUCCUCCACCACCACCUCCUCCACCACCGCCACCAUUUGUACCAGAGCCACUUCCAGAUCCAUAGCCCGAACCACUACCAGAUCCGUUUCCCCCNNNNNNNNNNNNNNNNNNNNNNNNNNNNNNNNNNNNNNNNNNNNNNNNNNNNNNNNNNNNNNNNNNNNNNNNNNNNNNNNNNNNNNNNNNNNNNNNNNNNCCUCCACCGCCACUACCAUUUGUACCCGAGCCACUACCAGAUCCAUAACCUGAGCCACUGCCAGAACCAUUUCCUCCACCGCCUCCACCUCCUCCCCCUCCACCACCACCAGCCCCUCCACUAUAUCCAUGGCCACUUCCUGUUCCAAAUCCAUAUCCUUGACCAAAUCCAUUUCCUCCACCACCUCCUCCACCACCAACAGCCCCUCCUCCAUAAUAUCCUUGCCCACUUCCUGUUCCAAAACCAUAUCCUUGACCAGAUGAUCUCAAUGAACUUGCCAAUGGUGCUAGAAAUUCAUGGAUUCCAAGUCCCGUACCAUAUCCUCCUCCAGUUUCAGAGCCAUAUCCAGAACCUGAACCACUUCUAGUUCCACUACCAGAUCCACUACCUGAACCUGAGCCAUAACCACCACCUUGGCCUUUACCUCCUCCAUUUCCACUACCAGAUCCACUACCUGAGCCUGAGCCAGAACCACCUCCUUGGCCUUCACCUCCUCCAGUUCCACUACCUGAUCCACUACCUGAGCCUGAGCCGGAACCACCUCCUUGGCCUUCACCUCCUCCUCCUCCAGUUCCACUACCUGAUCCACUACCUGAGCCGGAACCACCUCCUUGGCCUUCACCUCCUCCAUUUCCACUACCAGAUCCACUACCUGAGCCUGACCCAGAACCACCUCCUUGGCCUUUACCUCCUCCAGUUCCACUACCAGAUCCACUACCUGAACCUGAGCCAGAACCACCUCCUUGUCCUUCACCUCCUCCAGUUCCACUACCAUAUCCACUACCUGAGCCUGAGCCAGAACCACCUCCUUGGCCUUCACCUGCUCCAGUUCCACUACCUGAGCCUGAGCCGGAACCACCUCCUUGGCCUUCACCUCCUCCAGUUCCACUACCAGAUCCACUACCUGAUCCUGAGCCAGAACCACCUCCUUGGCCUUCACCUACUCCCGUUCCACUACCUGAGCCAGAACCACCUCCUUCGCCUUCACCUCCUCCAGUUCCACUACCUGAGCCAGAACCACCUCCUUGGCCUUCACCUCCUCCAGUUCCAAUACCAGAUCCACUACCUGAGCCAGAACCAGAACCACCUCCUUGGCCUUCACCUCCUCCAGUUCCACUGCCCGAUCCGAAUCCUGAUCCAGAACCUACUCCAUUCUUUCCAUCACCUCCGCCACCACUAUCACCAUAUCCUGAUCCGGCGCCUGAACCUGAACCGGAUCCUUCUCCAGUUAAAAGUCUGACAGCAGAAGUCAUGCUCACAAAUAGCAUGAUUGUCAAACUAAGGACCAAAAAGAUAGAUUUGGCCAUAUUUGAAUUCUCGAAUGAAUGGUGAUUUUUUAUCUUUAAGGAAUGAUGAGAUUGUAGUUGAUACGAACACUAUAUAUAAUGAUCUAUUUCUCCAAUGGUUUCAUCAAAACUAGAAUUGGAAUACAAAAUUUUGAUGCAUGCACGUAUUUUGAUUUAAAUAUCGUUGAGCUCACGUAAUAUUUUUUUUCAUUUAUAUAUAAUAUUACAAGAAAUAAGAAAAGAGGUUGAAUCUGUUUAAAUUUAGAGAGAGGUCGAGAGGUCUAGGCUAGCUUAUUGACAUCUCUCUUAGGUGAUGGUCGACUAUCUCUUAAGAUACAUUGGACGACUCUCUUAGGUGAUGCAUUGUGGUGAUUUAUAAUCAUUUUUUCUGAGAGAAAUCCAUGGAUGGUCGGAACCCUUCUAAUAGAACACGUUUAAUCAGAGGAUCAACCGGCAGACAUAGUUACAAAGCUUUUUGGAUAUAUAAUUUAUAAUAUAUAUCUAAUUUUAUAUUAUGCUUUAAGCAUAUUCUUUGUAACAACCUUCACUCACAAUUAUAAUUGGGUAGUUACAAUAUUAAGUGUAUAUAACCCAUAUCAAUAAAAUGAGAAUAUCGAAUAAACUAAAAAUCAUCCUUUGUAUUAAUCACUUAUAGUGUAUUUAUACAUUAUAUAUUAGUUUAAUAACUAACUAAUAGUUAGUAACUAACCAUCACUAACUAUAACUAUAUAUUAUCCACACAACUACCUAUAACUAUUUUUUAUUACAUCUCACACUUUCCCUCAAAGACAAGCUGUAUAUAGUUUUUUUAUGAAAGAUUGACUUUGAUUUGGUAAUUCAUUUUGGUUGUUCUCUAUAUCAAAUUACAUAAUUCUCUGUAGUCUCAUCUUAAGAAAACCUUAGAGUCGCAGAAAAGCAAAAGAGGGGUAAAAAAACCCAAUGGUAUCAUUCAUGUUUGCAUUUACAAAUCUGACUUGGAAACGUGCAUCCUCCACCAGCGACAUCAGCUGCAAAAUGUCAAGAAGGAUAAUCUUCCGAUGAUCGAGUAUUUGAAGAAAAUAUACAUAUUGAAGGAAAAGCUAGCUGCGUCCGGUGAGAAAUUAAAAGAUUUGUAAGUAAUUUUAAUUGCCCUAAGCAGUUUGGGGUCUGAAUUUCAACCAUUUGUCACUUCUAUCACCACUCGUUUUGAUCAUGGGAUGACAUUCCCAAAUCUCAAACAAUUGCUCAUGGACCAUGAACUAAGAUUCGCCUCGACGCCGAUAACCGUGGUAAUUGAAGCAAAUGCGGUGACCAAAUCAAGAUCUGAUUCGAUGAAGUUUUACCCAUGCCAAAUAUGUUUAAAAAAAGGACACAACGCUAUCAGUUGUUAUAAGCAAAUCAACUUCAUCCGAUUUCACCCCAACUCAUAGUCGCAUACUUACGUCGGUGGGAAUUCCGACGUCACAACAGUCCGCAAAUAUGGUGGAACCCAAAGGUGUGAUGUCCAUGUGGUAUCCCGAUACGGGGGAAACUACGCACAUAGCAGGUUCAAGUAAGUUGAUUCAAUCCUCCACCCCCUAUCAAGGUAAAAUCUCGGUGCUUACGGCAAAUGGAGAUUCAAUGCCAAUAUUAAAAUCUGGAAAAUCUAGAGUAAAAUUAAAUCAAUUUGAAUUAUUAUUGGACAGGAUGUUGUUAGUACUUUCAGCACGUACGUAUAUGUGCAGAUAACAAAGUAUAUUUUGAAUUUGAUGAGAAGAGGGUCAGAAUACGAGAGGCAGAAACUGAGAAGAUAAUAGCAUAGGGACAUGAGGCAGAAUGACUAUAUCAAUUACCGAUAAAAAUCAUCGAUAAAAAUCCAGAGAUGGUUACACGUACAACCACUAUAAGAAAAAGGCUUAGUGUUGGUCGCAAAAUAUAAUAAGAUGGUCGCUUAUAGAAAAAACGACUAAAUUUUUGAUCACCACGUUAGUCGCAAGAAACUCCGUCGCUAGUGAUCUAUAAGCGACCAACAUUUUGAGUUGGCCGCUCAAUAAAUCUAAAUCAGAACAAAUUUUUGACGCUAACAUAAGGGCGACCAACUUAGUUGGUUUCAAAUAUUUGACGUCAUCAUAAUACUGACCAACUUAGUUGGUUUCAAAUAUUUGACGUCAUCAUAAUACUGACCAACUUAGUUGGUCCCAAAUAAUUGCAAUUCCUGUGUAUUUAGUGAAUUAGAGGAUAAAAUGUAAUUAUGAUAUUAUUUUAUUAUUUUUUGAUAGUUAAAUUAAAUAUUAACAAAAUUGGUCUUCAAUUUGACUUUUUUCCCUCUUCCGAUUGUCCAUAAGCUUAUGUAGAACAAGCUUACUACUUUGUACAUAUUUUUUUUCUCUUCUUAUGUAGUAUGGUAUAUGCUGACUGCCUAUACAAUACUCGAUGUCAAUACGCCUAGACCUCUCUAAACGAAAAGAAGUUCAAUCUCAUUUGAUAUUUUUUGUAAUGUUAUAUGGUGAUACAGUAUCCCGAACACGGUCAUAACCUACCAGCAACUAGAAGUCCAGAUAGCCUAAGAUGAGUUGAGGUAUCUAUUCUAGGGUUGGGGAGGUCCCAGGUCGAAUCCUAGGAAGAUCGACUUUCCUGAGGAUCGACUUCCCUGGGAUCGACUUCUGAAUAAAGUCGAUCACCAGGAAAGUCGACCCCCAGAAAGUCGAUCUCUGGAAGUCGAUCCUGGGACCCAAUCUGAUCAGUUGGGCAGUUAGGCGGUUACUGCCCAAAUGACCAUAUUGCCCCCAUAAGAACCCCUAUAAAUAGAGGGCACCCUCCACUCAUUAAAGGCAAGUCAUUUGGAGAAGAAGGAUUCCUAGCGAAGCAGAGCUCUGCGCACUUGAGUUCCGGUCCGGUUUCUCGCGGAGUUCCCCGCUUGGCGCUUGCUUGCGCGUCUUGGAGUACUGGUCGGGUUUCACCCCAUCAGUUGGCGCCGUCUGUGACUCAAAGAUACUCACGACAAAAGCUCCUCGACUUUUUCGAAAAAAGUGAUCGACUUUUUUCCAAAUCGCCAGCUAGGGAGUCUUGCGAGGAAAUCAGCCAGCAAGGGAUCAACUUUUCAGAAGAUCGACUUUUUCUUCCAAGAAAAAAAAGUCGAUCCCUCAAGGAGCUAGGCUUUCAGGCAUCGACUUCCAAGGAAUCCUCUAAGUGCACUAGGCAUCGACUUUUUGAAGAUCGACUUUUCUCUCCAAGCAAAAGUCGAACACUCCUUCCAAGAAAAGUCGAACACUCAAGGAUGGUGGUAACUCGAAGCACUUCCCAAGGAGGAGGAGCAAAUUCUCAGGAGGCGCCAGAGCAACAGCCUGGCAACUCAAAAACUAAAAGGCCAGUGGGUCGACCACCCAAGGCCAAUAAAAACAAGAGGACUCCCACAGGACCUGAGGCUGAACCCGAAGGUGAACCCGGGCAAACCCCCCAAGCUUCAGCAGGAGGGGAAAAUCUGAACAUCACAGUUCAGGCGAUAGCAGAGGCCAUCCGACUCCUUGCUGAAAAGGAGAAACCUUCGGAAGAACAACCUCAAAAGGGGGGACCCACAAGCAGCAAGGAACCAAGGGCUGCUGCAUCAGAAUCCACUCAUGGGUUCGUAAAAAUGCCCAUAGAAGAGCUGGAAAAAAUGAAGGAAACCAUAGCAAAAAUGAGCGAAAAAAUAAAGGAUAUUGAAAAAUCUAAAGCAUCAAUAUACCAUUCAAAAGCUCAGACCUCGAAGCAGGCCAAGGUGCAACAGGAAGUGUCAAGUCAUAGAGCAGCACACUCCAGCGCACCACUACCUCGCAAACCAGAGGAGCUACCCAAACCUCUUCUCAAAAAACCCGUAUAUGAAGAAAGCACGGGAGACACAGAAGGAGGAGGCGAGGUUCCAAACUGGCUGGUAGGCAUGGAUGCCCUGCACAAAUCGCUAAUGGUAAAACCAGCACCUCUGAAAUUCAGGCUACCCAGGCUGCAGAUUUAUGAUGGGAAGAUGGACCCAGCAGACCACAUAAAUAUGUUUGUGGGAGCAAUGCAAUGGGCCACAUCAAGGGAUGACAUCCUAUGUAGAGCAUUCCCAGGAACACUGAAAGGGCCUACAUACAGGUGGUUCGUUGAACUACAGCCAGGGAGCAUAACAAGUUUCGAGGACUUGAAAAAGAAAUUCGUCGCCCAACACUAUGGAAACACAAGGGUCAGAAAGGGCACGGAAUCACUGUUUGCAAUCAAACAGAAUGGAGACACGCUUCGGAAUUAUACAACUAAAUUCACGGAAGCCAUGCAGAAAAUCUCCGAUCUAAAUACAACAAUCGCAAUCUGCGUAUACUCAAAAGGGCUAGACAUGAACACGCCAUUAGCAAUAAAGCUAAACGUUAGUAAUGUAAAAUGCAUGGAAGACCUGCUAACAAAGGCCCAGAAAUACAUAAAUUCUGAAGAGUAUGAGAAAGAAAAAGAAAAAGAAAAAGAAAAAGAAAAGAGAGGUGUCAUAAGCAAUAAAAAAGCAUAUGAAGCACCAAAGAAGAAAUUUAAGAAGUUUGAGAAAGGAAAAUCAUCCUGGAGACCAAAACACGAUGGAAAGGUCUACCAGACAUCUGAGGAGUUUGGAAAAUCAAGGUAUCCAAAGUACAAAGACUUAGGAUUUACGGUUUUCACUACUCCAAAAGAGGAAAUCUACAAUAAAGAAAAGGGAAGAAUAAGGUUUCCUCAACCAGAAGAGUUAAACCCUGCAACGAAAGAGGCCCGAACAAGGAGGAACAGGUAUUGCAAGUUCCACAAGGAUUACGGGCACAAUACAGAAAACUGCAGGGAGCUGAGUACCUUCCUAGACACGCAAGUGAAGGAAGGGAAGCUAAGGCAAUAUAUAAAUAAAAUAGAAAGGGGGCGACAAGGCUGCAAGGACCCAAAGAACAAGGGUAAGCGCCAACGCUCAAGGAGUCCCGAUUCAGACACUGACCACAAAAGAAGGGUAAUUAAUUUAAUCUUCGGUGGAGGAUCAGUAGGAGAAAGCAGAAGUUACUCGCGCAAAGUAAUGCAGACUACAACGGUACCAAAAUCUAAGAAAAGAUCGUACCCAAGCGAGGAAAUAAGCUUCUCCGAGGAAGAUCUGGACGACGUGGUCAGCCCACAUGAGGAUCCACUAGUGAUACAAGUGGAUAUAGGGGAUGAUUUAAGUCUGAACAAAGUAAUGGUGGACAAUGGCAGCUCAGUAGAUAUACUAUACCUAGCUGCGUUCGAAAAAAUGGGCUACAAAGUGGAUCAGCUAACCCCGUCCAAGGAAGCCAUUUAUGGGUUCACAAACACAAAGGCCCCAGUAGUAGGAGCCAUCGAUCUACAGAUAUCCCUGGGAAAAAGAAACGGGAGAGUAUCACGCACAACACAUUUCAUCGUGGUCAAUAUAGACUCUCCGUUCAAUGGGAUCUUGGGCAGACCAAGCAUUCACGGUUUCAAAGCGAUACCAUCAUUUUACCAUCAAUGCUUCAGGUACCCAGGAAAAGAUGGCAAAAUGGCAACAGUUUUUGGAGCACAGAAAGACUCCAGAAAUUCGUACAGGAAGGCAACUAAAAUAGCUAAACCUAUAACCCUGUACAUCCAAGAAAGAGAGGAGGAAGAAGACACAACCUCAUCUAAUCAAGUUGAGGAGGUCAAACUCUCAAAAGGAGGAGUCCUGAUAGGGACAUCUUUGUCCUCCGAGUUAAAAAAGUCACUGCUGCAACUAUUAGAAACCCAUGUGCACACGUUCGUAUGGGAAGGGGAGGCACCCUCACAGGUACAACGUACUAUAACGUGUCAUGAGCUCAACAUAGACAGUAGCUUUACUCCUAUACGGCAGAAGCGAAGAAUACUUGCAGCUGAAAGAAAGGAAGCAGCACAGGCUGAAAUUGAAAAAUUAAUCAAAGCUGGGCACAUCCGGGAAGUCAAAUAUCCAAAGUGGUUAGCAAACCCAGUUAUGGUUAAAAAAUCUAAUGGGAAAUGGAGGAUGUGUGUAGACUUCACAGAUCUCAACAAAGCAUGUCCAAAAGACAGCUACCCACUCCCAUCCAUCGACAGAUUAGUAGAUGCAGCAUCAGGGAAUGAGUUACUAUCUAUGAUGGAUACACAUUCAGGGUACAAUCAGAUCUUAAUGAAAGAGGAUGAUGAAGAGGCUACGUCAUUCAUCACAGAAUGGGGGACAUAUUGCUACAAAGUCAUGCCUUUCGGCCUACGAAAUGCAGGAGCAACCUUCCAAAGGCUGAUGGACAAGGUUUUUAAAAAGCAGGAAGGAAGAAAUGUCCUGGCAUAUGUAGAUGACAUUCUGGUAAUGUCCAAAAAAGCAGAUGAGCACCCAAAUGAUCUGAAAGAAACCCUGGAAACUCUGCAGAAUUAUGGGAUGAGGUUAAACCCUGCCAAAUGCAGUUUCGGAGUGCAAGAAGGAAAAUUUCUUGGAUUCUAUGUAGGGCAGAAAGGGAUAAACCAAAUCCAGAUAAAAUAGCAGCGAUACUAGAAACAACACCACCUCGAACAAUAAAGGAGGUACAAAAGCUGAACGGAAAAUCAAUGCCUUAAGUCUUUUCAUUUCCAAAACAGCAGACAAGUGCAAACCCUUUUUCCAACUACUAAAAACUAGUCAAAAAGGGACAAUAACAUGGACUACAGAGUGUGACGAGGCAUUUCAACAACUCAAAACACAUCUGGCUUCUCUACCACACCUAACUUCGCCAAAGAUAGGGGAGGAAUUGUACGUCUACGUAGCAGCUUCAGAAGAGGCUAUCAGUGCAGUUCUAAUAUGUCAAAGGGACAGUGAACAGAUCCCGAUAUAUUAUNNNNNNNNNNNNNNNNNNNNNNNNNNNNNNNNNNNNNNNNNNNNNNNNNNNNNNNNNNNNNNNNNNNNNNNNNNNNNNNNNNNNNNNNNNNNNNNNNNNNNNNNNNNNNNNNNNNNNNNNNNNNNNNNNNNNNNNNNNNNNNNNNNNNNNNNNNNNNNNNNNNNNNNNNNNNNNNNNNCGAAGUGGGCACUGGAGUUAAGCGAGUUCGAUGUAGAUUUUGUUCCUGCCACAACCAUUAAGGGGCAAGCAGUUGCAGACUUUAUUGUAGACAUGACCCAGGAAAGCAAAGAAAAACCUUGGAUAGUAGAGGUUGACGGCUCAAGCUGCAGUACAGGUGCAGGAGUGGGAAUAAAGAUAAUCACUCCAGACCAAAGAAUAUAUGAACAUUCUAUCAGAUUACAGUUCACAGCUACGAAUAAUAUAGCAGAAUACGAAGCUGUAAUCCAAGGAAUGAGAAUUCUCAGAAGGUUGGGGGCCUGUUCAGUAAUUAUUAGAACAGAUUCCCAACUAGUGGCUCGGCAAUUCACAGGAGAGUUCACUGUUAAAGAACUUCUAAUUGUACAGUACGCAGCCACACUAGAAAAAAUCAAAGAACAAUUCACCAAGGUUGAAGUAGAGCAGAUUCCAAGGAGUCAAAAUAACUCAGCUGAUGCCCUGGCAAAGCUAACUUCUGCUUUCGAGGGGGGGCAAAGAGAGAUACUAGUUGACUCAGCAUCUACACCUUCAUGUAACUUAGUCACGAUCCAGGCAGAAGACUGGAGGAAACCCUUGAUAGAAUACUUCGAGGGACAGAAACUUCCUGAAAACAAGAAUGAAAGACGCAAGUUGCAAACACGCGUUUCAAGAUUCUGCCUGAUCGGUGACAUUCUGUAUAAGAAAUCCUACGAUGGACCUCUAAUGAAAUGUGUCUCAACAGAAGAAGGACAAUUCAUUGUAGAGGAGAUUCAUCAAGGAGUAUGCGGAAUACAUCAAGGGGGAAGAUCUCUGGCCCAAAGAAUAAUAAGGCAGGGAUACUUCUGGCCCACACUAAAAAAAGAUGCAGUCCUAUUUGCAAGAAAAUGCAAGGCCUGUCAAAUACACAAAAACAUACAGAGAAAUCCCACAACUCAGCUAACAGGGGUAGAAAGCCCCAUCCCCUUUGCAAUGUGGGGAUUAGAUAUUGUGGGACCAUUUCCAGUAUCGACAGGUCAGGCCAAAUUUAUAUUUGUGGCUGUCGACUACUUCACUAAAUGGGUCGAGGCACGUAGCUGUACCCAAGAUAACUCAAGGAGCAGCAACGAAGUUUGUCUUCAAGUGCAUAAUGUGCAGAUUCGGUGUUCCAAUGCAUAUAGUGACAGAUAACGGUACACAGUUUACCGGUGGGGAGUUUACGAGAUUGUGCGAGAACAUGGGCACUAGAAUCCAUUUUUCAUCGGUAUACAGACCACAGGGUAAUNNNNNNNNNNNNNNNNNNNNNNNNNNNNNNNNNNNNNNNNNNNNNNNNNNNNNNNNNNNNNNNNNNNNNNNNNNNNNNNNNNNNNNNNNNNNNNNNNNNNACAGAGUCAUCGUUCAGGGACUAAAGAAAAAAGUCAAACAGGCCAAAGGUUCGUGGGCAGAUCUACUACCAGAGAUCCUGUGGGCGUAUAGAACCACUGAAAAGACACCCACCGGAGAAACCCCGUUCUCACUAGCAUAUGGAAUGGAAGCACUAAUCCCAACAGAGCUAAGCAUUCCAACAGUCAGAGUAUUAUCCUAUGACAUGGAAGAAAAUAUGAGAUCAUGUGCGAUAACUCUGGACUUAGUGGAUGAGCUUAGGGAUAAUGCACAGGCAAAGAAUGCAGCUUACAAACAAAAUAUCGCUAGAUAUCACGACAAGAAUGUCAAGGGUAAAGCGAUAAGAAAAGGAAUCCUAGUAUGGAGAAGAGCAAGUGUCGGCAGAAAAGACUGCUCUAAAGGCAAACUAGGCGCAAAUUGGGAAGGACCAUAUGUGGUGGAGGAAGAACUCCGACCAGGCACGUACAAGUUAAAGCGGGAAGAUGGAACAGGCAUUCCCAAUACUUGGCAUGCAGAUAACCUACCGUUGUACUUUUAAACGAUCAAGUAAGAUUAUACUACUCUUGUAAUAGUUUGAACUACGUAACUAAUAUGUUGUUUAGUUAACUAUUAAUCAGAACACUCAAAAAACAUUCCAUAUAUUGAUUGAACAUGAAUUACAAAGGAAUGUAAAGUACAAGGAUAAGAUAGAGGAUUAAUCUAUUUAGGAGGGGAGGAAUCUUUAGAACCCUCUGCACCGUUGUCAUCUUGAUCUUCUACGGAGAAAUUGUUGUCAACGGUAGCAGUCGUGUUAUUCCCCGGAGCCUCCUCUUCUUCAUUUUCUUCAUCCUCUUCCUCCGCAAGCGCCCGAUUUCGAACUUCGGUAGCUUCUUUGGGGUACUUGCGGGCCCAGUUAUGGACAUCCUCAGCCUCGAAACCAGGGCAGACAUGAGGACCCAGAUCCACCAGGUCAUUGUAAUCUCGCACAUUGGCAAGAUAAUCAACCUUGAGCUUCUCCAGAUGGUCGACCAUACGUUGAAGCUCCUCAGUCAUUUGUUGAGCUUCCUCAGUCAUACGUUGGACCACCUCAGUCUUUUCCCGGUCUGCUUCUUCCAGUCGCGUUAUCAAGUUUCUGCAAUCAUCCAGCGACUUGGAAAGUUUCUUAUUCUCAUCAUAACCUUCGUUCAAUCGUCGGGUAAAUAUGGCAUUCUGUUCCCGACAAGAACUAAGGUUCGCCUCAGUAUUCUCGUGCUGACGGGUGAGAUCGACAAUCAUCGACUCUUUAAUUGAAACUCUGGCACGUUGAGCUGCUAGUUCCAUCUCCGCAGCUCCCAACUCCCCGUUGACUUUGGAAAUUUCCUGCUCCUUGUCUCUCAAGAGAUUCCUUUGAGCAGCCCAGUCCUCAGCCAACUUCUUGUUGGUAGCAGACAGAGUAGAGGCGUCGGAAGCUUUUUGCAUGACCUCGCCUUCCAGGUCUUUACAUCGGCGCUUCACCUUCUUCAGCUCAUCUUCCAUAGACUGGUAGUCACGGAGACGAGACAGAGAAGAGAGGCGGCCUUGGAAUAAAUAGGCGAGCUGCAAAAAGAAAGAAUGAGUAAGAACAGGCUCAUAAAAAUAUUAAAACAGAAGUACUUACGUUACUCAGAUUCUGUCCGAUUUCUGGCGGCAUCCGUGUCAGCAACCAGAGGGAACUUGGUCCCGUAAUUCCGGGGGUGCGAACCUUGGUAACCCGGCAGCUGUGUCUCCCGGGUGGAAGAAUAAUUGUAUCGGCCCCGGGAGGACUCCCCAGUAUAAAGUCUCCGGCGUGGAGAAGCUCGUCGUCUAGGGGAGUGUCUCCGUGAUUUCCUCGGAGGAGAGGAGUCGGUCCUAGGGGGUGGAGUUCGUUUUUUGCUUCUUCUCCCCUCAGACCCCUCAGGCUGGGUCUCCUUCCCAGCAGUUCUUUCUCGCUCCUCUUCUGGAGUACGGAAGAAGGAAGCGAGCCUGAAAGCAGCAUUAGCCCCCAUAGGUGCCUCCACAGGUACCUCCACAGGUACUUCCCCUUCCUCAGUUCGUUGGACUUCUUCAGGAGGAGUAGGGGAAUGCGCCAUCGUAUAGGCAUUCUCAAGAGCACGUUGCCUCAGAUGUUUGGCAUCAGAAGGUUUAGAGGCAGGCGCGUAAACCUUCGUGCCCGUUUCAUUUUGCCCAACGCGUUCAGGGACACCUCCAGGAUUAUGCAUAUAAAAAUCUGCAAAGAAUAUAAACAGAGUUAGAAAAAUGCAUACACAUAGAAAAAAAAGAAAAAACAGGCAAAGGAAGACCUUGUCGGUUAAAAGUAUCGUCAAUCGCGUGACCGACAGGCACAGCGAUAGCGUGUAAAAAGGUCAGCCUUUGCACAGAAGCUCCCUCAUCCUCAGUCAGAACAGGACGGGGAGUAGGCCUACGACCAACAGUGGAUGCAGGGAGAAGUCUGCUACCAGGGCAUAGCCUGCAAUCCACAAAAAUAAACUCACUCUUGUUCCGCAUGGUCGGAGGAUCUUUCAAGAGGGCAGAGUGAGUGACAGAAGUAGCACGGCUGGCAGAUGCAAUAAAAGGGCUGCCCUUCUUCGGAUUUUGAAAAGUGAAGAAGUGGAAAAAUAGCCGAGCAGUUGGGACUAUGCCAGCAUCCCUGAGAACAUUAAUAAAGCCCCUGACAUAAAAGAAAAAGGCGGCACCCAUCUGGGAGAUACACAAUCCAGAAUACAAAAGGAUUUCACUAACUAGGGAAGGGAUCGGAAGGAUCGGAAUGUUAGUGAAAUAGACUCGAUGGAGUGCCAGCAUGAAAUAGGGGGCACGUCACCAGUGUUCUCAGAAGGGUACGCCCAGUACACUCUCUCUCUAAGCUCUAACCCCCUCAAAAUUCUUUGGGCGGCGUCCAGGGAAAGGGUGUUAGAGCAUCUACCCGCAUUAGAGGAAAGGGGGUAGCCCGGAAUAUCAGUCAGAGAGACUGCACAGAAAGAACCAUACUCAGUCCCGUACUCGCCCCGGUCGAGAAUAGGGACAACGUGGAAACCGUUGCGAAUGAAAACGGACCACUGGCGCCAAGAACCAUCCAUCUCCCGAUAGAAGGAUGGGGCGCUCUUCUCCUCAAGAGGAGAAGGAAAGGGGUACUUCUCCUCCGUCUCAGGAGGGUAACCCAAGGGAGAGUCCUCUAAAAGGUGAACGUUCUGACUACAGACUUCGGGAGGAAGUUGAGCAGAACCGUCUGUAGUCACAGAUGGCUCCUCCGUAAUAGGAACCUCCUCAUGAAUAGUAGACAAGAUAAUUGUAGGAGGAGGAGUCCUAACGACGGAGGGAGGGGUGCCUCCAAUUUCUACAUCACGCUCAGGAGAAGAGGAGCUGUAGUAGGAAGAACCCGAGCUCCCCGAGCUGGAUGUAGAAGACCCCGAACUGGAACGUGCGGGGGAAGAAUGGGGAGAACCUACAAACAAAAAACAAACAAAGGGUAAGUUACGAAAGAAAAAAUAAUAAUAACUUACUAGGUACGGGCUUGCGCGUACGACGAGAAAGAGCUUUUCGCUUACUUCCAACAGGUAAGGAGGAAGGCGAAUCAACUCUAGACUCAACCACGGCAGGAGGAGCCUGAACCACGGCAGGAGUAGACUCGACUGCGGCAGAAGAAGUCGGAACCUCAGUGGGAACAGACUCUGGUUCGACUUCAGUAAUCUGAACCUUAGUUGGAACAGACUCUAUUACGGCAGUAUCAGCCUGAGGAGCCUGAGGGCUGGUAACAAUAGCCCGCUCCUCAUUGAGAGGAAGAUCUUGCUGCGAAUCCUUGGCAGAAGACAUUAUGAACCUGCACGAAGAACAUAGCAGUCAGCCCAAGUUAUGGCAAAAGUCGAUCCCAAGAAAAGUCGAUCCGGACUUCAGGGAAUCGAACUAGCAGUAUAAGGGAAGUCGACCUCGGAAGUCGAUCCCAGGGAAGUUGACCUCAGAUGUCGAUCCCAGGAAAGUCGACCUUCAGGAGACAAGGGUCUCAGGAAGUCGACACCAGUAAAUUCGAACCAAGGGAAGCACUUCGGGAGCGCAAAGGCUAUACCCAUGGAAGUCGAUCCCAGUAAAAAUGGAUCCAACUUUGAAAAGUCGAUGACAAGGCGUCAAACCUCACAAAGUCGGACCACAGUCCAAAGGGAAACAACUUCAAAAUGGACCGACUUUCAGAAAAGUCGGACCCCAAGGAAGUCGAACCCAGUGCAACCUCAGAAGAGCCCGACAACAAAAGUCGGACCCCAGAAAGCUGCACCUCCAAGGCUCAAGUCGAAGCCUUACGCGCGCUGGAAGUCGAAGCGGAGAAGCGGAUGUCCAAGCGAGAUGUCGAAGUGAAGAAGCCUGAAAGUCGAUGCGAGAAAGUCGAUCGGUCGGAGCGAAGAAAACGAGUGAGAAACAAAUGAACUCCCUCCGCUAUUUAUAGGGGAAAGUCGAAGACGAACCGUCGCGGGCACUGUUCAUCCGGUUCGACCCGUUGGGCCGGAAAGCCCACGGGCCCGGCAGGCCCACGACGGCCCAGUCCAUGAAAAACCCCAAAAUCCGACUAGAUGGCAUCGACAUUCCAGGAAAAUUCAUCGACAUUUCAGAAAAAGUCGUCAACAUUCCCAGAAAAGGGGGAUAGGCGUCGACAUUUGGCAAGGAAUUCGAUGCCUUCAAAAGAGAAGGUCAGGAUCGACAUUCCGCAGAAAAUUGAGUUCGACAUUCCCAGAAAAGGGGGAGAUCGACNNNNNNNNNNNNNNNNNNNNNNNNNNNNNNNNNNNNNNNNNNNNNNNNNNNNNNNNNNNNNNNNNNNNNNNNNNNNNNNNNNNNNNNNNNNNNNNNNNNNNNNNNNNNNNNNNNNNNNNNNNNNNNNNNNNNNNNNNNNNNNNNNNNNNNNNNNNNNNNNNNNNNNNNNNNNNNNNNNNNNNNNNNNNNNNNNNNNNNNNNNNNNNNNNNNNNNNNNNNNNNNNNNNNNNNNNNNNNNNNNNNNNNNNNNNNNNNNNNNNNNNNNNNNNNNNNNNNNNNNNNNNNNNNNNNNNNNNNNNNNNNNNNNNNNNNNNNNNNNNNNNNNNNNNNNNNNNNNNNNNNNNNNNNNNNNNNNNNNNNNNNNNNNNNNNNNNNNNNNNNNNNNNNNNNNNNNNNNNNNNNNNNNNNNNNNNNNNNNNNNNNNNNNNNNNNNNNNNNNNNNNNNNNNNNNNNNNNNNNNNNNNNNNNNNNNNNNNNNNNNACGGCGACGCAAGCGGCGAGGGACCUGAUCCAGCGGGGAAGCACCGCGGCGGGGACGCCUCCGACGUCGGCCACGAGGAGGGACAACAGAAGAAGAGGCGGGCGGAAGAUCGCCGCCAGACCAUUCUUCAAAAAUGGAUUCUCUAGCAGCAACAGCAACCCUCUGCCGCUCAACAAUGAGCUGGCGCAGAGAAGGAAGAUCCAAGGUUGACAACCGAGGAUCCAAAAUAUUCAAAAUUCGAUCCAGCUCCUCAAUCUCUCCCUGAAUAAAAUCAGCAAAGAGACUCACAAGAAGAGCCAUGGAUGAAGGAAAAGGAGGACCUGGGGGUCCUAUUUAUAGACCCUAGGACAGAACAAAAGGACAAAAAAUGUCAAAUUCGACUUUUGACCAAGAGCAUCAGGAAUCGACUUUUUGACAAAAGUCGACCAAACUCAACAAGGGAUCGACAUUUCGCAAAAGUCGAGCAAACUCAAUAAGGGAUCGAUAUUUCGCAAAAGUCGAGCAAACUCAAUAAGGGAUCGACAUUUAGCAAAAGUCGAGCAAAAGCAACAGGGAUCGACUUUUUUCCCACAUAAAAGGGGCGCAGAAAAAAGAACCCAGACAAGUUGAAGUUGCGGAGGCACACCAAGACAGGAGGGUGUAACACGAAAUGCUCCUGAGGAAUCGUGGAAGUCCACAAUUCGGACGGUGAUACGGCAGCAAAAUGAGCUGAGCCAUACAAAGAUAUUUGAACUCCUACCAUUACUGGACGCAGUAAUAAAGUAGGACACCAAAUUAACUCUAUCUACGGAAGAACGUGGGCAGAGAAAGUCUUAAUGGUAACAGAGUCAGAAUGCGUAUCCUAUCCAAAGAAAAGAGUGAACCUCACCUACGGAAACGUAGUGUUAGACGAGGGAUGUGCUCAAAAAGUGAACCCCACCUACGGAAGAACGUAGGUUAGACGGGGAAAACAUCUGCUAAAGGGUGAACCUCACCUACGGAAACGUAGUGUUAGACGAGGGACGUACUCAAAAAGUGAACCCCACCUACGGAAGAACGUAGGUUAGACGGGAAACACAUCGGCUAAAGGGUGAACCGCACCUACGUAAACGUAGUGUUAGACGAGGGACGUACUCAAAAAGUAAACCCCACCUACGGAAGAACGUAGGUAGACGAGGAAUCACACUUAGCCUCAGUCGCAAAAAGGCGAGCAAAAGGAGGGGGCAAGUAAUCAAACAACAAUCCUCACCUACGGAUGAACGUAGGUAGAUGAGGAAUCACACUUAGCCUCAGUCGCAAAAAGGCGAGCAAAAGGAGGGGGCAAGUAUUCAAAUAACAAUCCUCACCUACGGAUGAACGUAGGUAGACGAGGAGUAACACUUAGCCUCAGUCGCAGAAAAGCGAGCAAAAGGAAGGGGCAAGUACUCAAAUUCCUCACCUACGGAUGAACGUAGGUAGACGAAGAAUAACACCUAACCUCAGUCGCAGGAAAGCGAGCAAACAGAGGGGGCAAGUAUUCAAGUAAUAAUCCUCACCCACGGAUGAACGUGGGUAGACGAGGAAGCACACUCAACCCCUAUCGCAGAAAGGCGGACAAAAGGAGAGGGUCGNNNNNNNNNNNNNNNNNNNNNNNNNNNNNNNNNNNNNNNNNNNNNNNNNNNNNNNNNNNNNNNNNNNNNNNNNNNNNNNNNNNNNNNNNNNNNNNNNNNNNNNNNNNNNNNNNNNNNNNNNNNNNNNNNNNNNNNNNNNNNNNNNNNNNNNNNNNNNNNNNNNNNNNNNNNNNNNNNNNNNNUGGAAGCAUAGAUACAACCUCGCAGGCGUAGAGAGGGGGGGAAUACUGGUGAGAGAGGAUCUUACAUCCAGGGACAUCACCAAAAAUCCACAUCCCAGCACGCAAAGAGGGGGGGAAUACUGAUAGUACAAGGUCUGACACACAGACCAUAGUACUAAAAGACGUAUCCCAAAGUAUCUAAUACGCAGAGGAGGGGGGAAGUACUGGUGAUACAGUAUCCCGAACACGGUCACAACCUACCAGCAACUAAAAGUCCGGAUAGCCUAAGAUGAGUUGAGGUAUCUAUUCUAGGGUUGGGGAGGUCCCAGGUCGAAUCCUAGGAAGAUCGACUUUCCUGAGGAUCGACUUCCCUGGGAUCGACUUCUGAAUAAAGUCGAUCACCAGGAAAGUCGACCCCCAAAAAGUCGAUCUCUGGAAGUCGAUCCUGGGACCCAAUCUGAUCAGUUGGGCAGUUAGGCGGUUACUGCCCAAAUGACCAUAUUGCCCCCAUAAGAACCCCUAUAAAUAGAGGGCACCCCCCACUCAUUAAAGGCAGGUCAUUUGGAGAAGGAUUCCUAGCGAAGCAGAGCUCUGCGCACUUGAGUUCCGGUCCGGUUUCCCGCGGAGUUCCCCGCUUGGCGCUUGCUUGCGCGUUUUGGAGUACUGGUCGGGUUUCACCCCCAUCAGUACCCACAUUUUCAAAAGGCGGAAAUCGAAAGGUUAACAACAGAGAUGUUGAAUCAAGGCUUGAUCCGCUAUAGCACAAGUCCAUUCUCGUCACCAGUUUUAUUAGUCCGAAAGAAAGACGGGACUUGGAGAUUUUGCGUAGACUACCGGGCCCUAAACUCAACCACGAUUCGAAACCGUUUCCUGAUACCAACAAUGGCUGAGCUCCUAGACGAAUUGAAUGGAGCAACUGUGUUCUCCAAACUCGAUCUGAGGGCCGGAUAUCACCAAAUCAGAAUUACGGAAAACGAUAUAGAGAAAACCGCUUUUCAGACACACCAUGGACAUUACGAAUUCUCCGUAAUGCCGUUCGAACUCACGAAUGCCCCCUCGACUUUCCAAGCCACCAUGAAUCAUUUACUACGAGAUUUACUACGUAAAUAUGCUAUUGUAUUUUUUGACGAUAUUUUGAUCUACAACUCAUCCAGAGGCCCACCUCAAGCAUCUGGAGUUGGUGUUGGAAUUGUUACAACAAAAUUCUUUUUACAUUCGGGAAACCAAAUGUUCAUUUGGGGUUUCUAGCUUAGUUUACUUGGGUCGUAUCGUAUCAGCCGUCGGAGUACAACCGGAUCUGGAGAAAAUCGAAGCUGUCAAAGCAUGGCCUCAACCUAGGACCGUAAGACAGGUUAGGGCUUUUUGGGGCCUAACCGGAUAUUACAAAAGAUUUAUGGAGAAAUAUGCGCAAAUAGUCGCUCCCUUAACCGAUUUGCUCCGGAAAGACAAUUUUCAUUGGGAUGACACAACACGGGCAGCAUUUGACAACCUCAAAGAGAAGUUAAUCACGGCACCGGUCUUAAUAUACCCUAAUUUCUCUUUGCCAUUCAUUAUUGAAACAGACGCAUGUGAUGUAGGCGUCGGCAUGAUAUUGAUACAAAAAGAACAUCCGAUUGCUUACUAUAGUAAAAAGCUAUCGCCUCUCCGUCAAAAAGCCUCCACUUACGCCAAGGAGUUAUGGGCCAUUACAGAUGCCGUCCAAAAAUGGAGACACUACCUGUGGGGUAAUGAAUUCACUAUUCGCACCGACCACCGUAGCCUAAAGAAUUUGCUGGCUCAAACAAUCCAGACGUCCGAGCAACAAUUCUUUUUGACAAAAUUACUGGGGCACAAAUUUAACAUUGUUUAUAAAAAGGGAAAAGAAAAUGGAGCAGCCGAUGCGUUGUCUCGUAUGCCAUCUGAACAGGAAAUGAUCACUCAGUUACACUCUAUGUCAAGCGCCAACAUGCCCGAAUGGGUGGAUCGGUUAAAAGAAAAAAAUAAAAUCGAUACUUGGUUAGUCAAGACUUAACAACAAAUUCUUGGCCAAGUGGCUAAACACGGUUUCAGUUUCAAAGAUGGGUUGGUUUUCUAUAACAACCGGUUUUGUCCUGGGCCGACUUCAGAUUUGCGAAAUCUGAUCAUGACAAAAUUGCACGGUUCACGUGUUGGGGGACAUUCGGGCGUAUACCGCACCUUGGCACGGAUUCAUCUUCAUUUUUUUUUGGGUGGGAAUGUCCAAGGACGUCAAGGACUUCAUCCGGCAUUGUCGCGUUUGCCAACAAAUCAAAGUACCAACUACAAAACUAAGUGGUCUGCUACAACGUCCAUUAGCAAUCCUGUCUGCGAUUUGGGAAGACCAAGGCAUGGAUUUCGUUACUGGGUUGCCAACGGUAGGAGGGAAAUCGGUCAUAGUAGUGGUGGUAGAUCGCUUGACCAAGUAUUGUCAUCUAGGUGCACUGCCGGCCGGUUACACUGCUAUUUCAGUUGCUGACUAUUUUAUAAAUCAGAUAGUGCGGCUCCAUGGCCUCCCCAAGACCAUCACCUCCGAUCGCGAUAAGAUAUUUAUGAGUCGGUUUUGGAAGGAGUUGUUCACUCGCAGUGGCACGACAUUGAACAUGUCAUCGACUUACCAUCCCGAGACUGACAACCAAACCGAGAUCACCAAUAAAACAAUAGAGCAAUAUCUACGAGCAACCGUGCACCAAAAUCCCCGAUCAUGGUCGGAAGUGCUGCCAUGGGCCGAGCUCUGGCACAACAGCUCGUAUUACCACAGUCUGAAAACAACCCCAUUUCAAGCGGUGUAUGGUCGAUCUUCCCCGGAAAUUAUCAAUUACCGACAAGGCGACUCCAUGGUGGAAGCAGUCGAUGUCGCACUUACCGAAAGGAAGAGAAUGCUGGCGAAAUUACAACAUAAUCUCCAUUCCGCGCAAGAAAGAAUGAAGAAAUACGCCGACUUAAGGCGGCGCCCCUAUGAGUUCAAUGAAGGGGAUUGGGUGUAGCUGAAGUUGCAACCAUAUAGGUAGCACUCCGUGGAUCGUCGGAGGUGUCAAAAGCUAUCAGUUAAAUAUUAUGGCCCAUUCGAGAUAUUAAAGAAGAUCAGUCUGGUUGCCUAUCGUUUAAAGCUGCCCGAACACUGUAAAAUUUUUCCUGUCUUCCAUAUUGCUCUUCUCAAGCAAUUUACAGGGAACGACCCGGAGCAGGAAGCAAUCCAGCUGCCACCUUUAUCCAUGGAUGCUCACCCUAUUAUAGUUCCCAAAAGAAUUACGGCAUAUCGUCUAGUCAAAAGGAAAGGAAAGAAAGUGCAGCAAGUUUUAAUUGAAUGGCUGGGGUUAGAUCCCAACGAGAAGACAUGGGAGGACCUCGAUGUCGUAGCACGGCUAGCACCCACGUCUAACCUUGAGGACAAGGUUAUUGGGGAUGGGGGAAGGGAUGUAACAUUCGCCCUGGAUAUUGAGGGGGUUACGAGCCGAAUACGGAAAGAACUGGACAUUAUCGAACCAGAGGAGGAAGUUCCCACGAUCCCUGCAGCAAUACCAACGGGCGAGCCACCCACUCCAGGAACGCGUCGGUCCCCGCGACCCAUCCGCAACCGAAAGAACGUGCAUGUUCCCCACUACGUCUACUAUUAGUCUAGGACAGGGAAUAUUUUUUUAUCAGCUUUAUUAGAAUCGAUUGUAGCACGAUUAGUGCAUUUGGCUUUAAAUAAUGAGAACGCCGAGUGAUCGGUAUCCAAUAUCAAAACAAUUCUAAAUCCCUCAACUCCGGCUCCCUCGGGAGAAUCCCUCUCUUACAACCACCGGCUCUUUCGGGAGAUUUCUUGUUCUCACCUCCGGCCUUCACAGGUACUGCUCGCCAAUAUUCAGUAACCUCUACCGAAGAGUGUUAUAACUGGUGCUUUCACUGUCCUCUCGCACAUGAACCCAAUUGCGUUCAACUAAUAUUGACUUCCAAACCGCCAUUGUCAUUGUUCAAAGCGGUUUAGCCACCAAUAUUUUUUUUGUCAAUCUUACUUUAUUGAUUCUAGCCUCACUACAAAAAAAUAGGUUAAUUAUUGGAAAUUCAAAUGCGAUGCCUUUGCCUCCAAUAAUACAUAUUUUCCGACAAAACAAAUUACUGACGGCAGAGGCGCCAAUAUUGGUUGCACUCCCAACAAAACCUAUAAAUUUCCGACAAACACAGAGUGAUAGACACUAUUUUGUUAGAAUAUAUAAUUUGAAUUAACGUUUGCUUGUAGGUAAAUGUAUUAUUAACAUAUAUAAUUAUUAACACUUCUUACUCCGAAGAAAAUUAAGAAACAAAGUUUCGGUUGCUGAUGUCUUUUUACUUUUAAGACUAUGGUGGACGAUGAUGUUCAUGAUAUUGAUAGGGAAGAAGCCGGAGACGUGGAGUUUUUUAGCCGAGGAUAGCGCGAUACUAAGAUGAAUCUACCUAUAGCUAUUGUAAUAUAGUAGUAAAUGGUUAAAUAUUUUGUUACAACCUUAUGAUCAUUUAAACUAGUGAUAUAUAUUGAUUUUGUAUUAGAAUACUCUACAUUAUACACAUUAAACAAUGAUUUUAUUAUGUAUAUAUAUUAUAUUAUGAUAAUAAGGAAAAAAUAGUAUAGAAAUGUGACUAUCAAUACUAUUUGUGAUUAAUUAGCUUUUGCUUCUGCUUUAGCUUUGGCGAUAGCAUUUGCAUUUCCUUCUUCUUCUGCUUUGGCUUUAGCGAUAGCAUUUGCAUUUCCUUCUGUUUCUGCUUCUGCUUUCACUUUGGAUUUGGCGACAGCAUUUCCAUUUCCUUUAGCUUUUGCUUUUGCUUUGGAUUUAGCAACAACCUUUGCAUUUCCUGUAGCUUUAGCUUCAGCUUUAGAUUCAGCAAUUGCAUUGGUAUUCCUUCCACCAUUAGCCUUCGCAUGGCUAGUAGAAUAAGAAACGGCAUGGCUAUUACCAUGAGCAACGACAUGACUAGUAGCAUGAGCAACGGCAUGACUGCUAGCACCUGCUUUAAUUUUUUCAUCAUCUUCAUCAUCGCCAC
rnacentral:lncRNA from 1 species